rnacentral:lncRNA from 1 species
UUCUUCUUUCUCUUCGCCACAUUCCUUGAGGAUGGUUAUGAGACUCUCUCAAGUUUGCAGACACAAAGUUGUGGUGUCUGUUCACUUCAAUUCAACCCACCCUCAAGUCAAUCUCUCUAUCUCUCCCUCGCUCUGAAGUUCGACCCCCAAACCCAUCCGUCUCAUCCAAUCCUCAUACCUCCUCGCAAAACCCAACCCAACUAUCUUCUUCCCACCUUCGAAUCUUCGCCACCAAAAAUCAGCAAUUCAUUAUAGGGCUCGAAGGAAGCUCUGUUUCACUAUGUCGUCAUGGAGGACCAAAAGCAGAGUACCCAUCUUGAGAAUUGCACAGAAAGAGCCCAAGAGGCUGCUGAUUCUCAGAACCCAAUUGUAAUUCCGUCCGUACGUGUGGCUGAGAAGUUGUCCAGGAAGAAAUCGGAGAGGUUCACUUAUCUUGUUGCUGCGGUGAUGUCCAGCUUUGGUAUUACUUCCAUGGCUGUCAUGGCUGUUUAUUACAGAUUUUACUGGCAAAUGGAGGUAACCAAUUUCUCUCUGCUCCCUAAACCACAAAAGUUACGAACUUUAUCUUCUCUGAUUGAGUUUUUGAAUUGGGUGAUUUUGUUUUCUGUGUAGGGUGGGAAUGUGCCUUUGUCUGAAAUGUUGGGUACAUUUGCUCUAUCUGUUGGUGCUGCUGUAAGUUCACUGACAACAUCCCAAUUGGAGAAACUUAAUUAAAUUAAAUUGAUUUUGAAGUUUUUUUCUUUACACUGAAAACUACUAAAUCGAUUUGGAUUUUAUAUAUGUAUAUUUUAGGUGGGAAUGGAGUUUUGGGCAAGAUGGGCUCAUAAAGCUCUCUGGCACGCUUAUGGCAUAUGCACGAGGUUUGCUUCGAAUUUUGCUACUUUUUAUUAUCUCUUUGAUGCCAACUCCUCAAAAUUUUGUUUCUUUUCAUUCACUGGGAAACCAGCAAUGAAAGAAACAUGACAAGCUUGAGUUUUUAUGUUGUUUUUCCAUUUAGUUUCUUAGCAACCAAUCAGUGUUUGAUAUUUGAUAUGAACUUUAAUUGCAGUCUCACCACACAGACCCAGAGAAGGUCCAUUCGAGCUUAACGAUGGACUGAAACAGAGAAAGAAGAGAUAAGGAAUCUGGUGGAGAGAAAGAAGAAGAAAGAAAGAAAGAAACAGAGAGGGAAAUGAAAUAAAUAAAUAAAUAAUAUUUUUUUAUAAUUUUGGAUUGAUUUGACGAUUAUAUCCCUAGGUUUAACAGAUUUUUUAACAGAGGGAUUAUUUAAGAGCACCUAUAUUAACGUUAGGGACCAUGCGUGAUACAAAAAAACUUUAAGGAUGCAAUCUGAUAGUUUCGCAAACGUCAGGGAUGUUUUGUGAUAAAAAGCCUUGUUUUUUUAUGGUUUUGGCAGUGUUAGUUAUUCAUAUAGAAUGCAGGCUCAGAGUUAGAGUUUAUAAGAAAUUAUGAUUCUUGGGUAAUGGCCUAAUAGUAAUGGAUAUUGCUCUAAAUUACUCUUAGGGAAAGAAAAAAAAAAAAAAGUAUGGCCGCGCGGCUCUACUCUGUAAAUAUAUUAUUUUAAAGAAGUACAGCCGCGCGGCUAUACUAUUUAUUAUUAUUAUUAUUUUUUAAAAAGGAGCCGCCUAGACCGCCUAGCCCGCCUAGCCGGCCGAUUUUCUGUUCAAGUCUGGAUAUUUGGAUAUGGUUGUGCAGGCUAAAAUUAGAGGGUAUGGCUCCAAUUCUAAGAUGAUUACGUUAACUGGGUCUCUUUUCUUUGACUGAAUUCUUAAUUAUUUAUGAGUUUUCUGUCAAAUGUUUUUUGUGUUUAGAACUGUAAGUUUUGAUACGGAAAUGGGUUUUCUGCGCAAGCUUGAAUUUGUAGAUUUGGUUGUGUUGCCCCCUGUAAAUUUGGUUGAGUUGGUUGUGUUGGUUUAAAUUAGAGAGAACUCGUUAUAAAAAUCGCGAGACUCUCAAUUUUUGAGGGAGCGUCUCUUGUGAUGAUGAUGAUGAUAAAGGUUAUAUUGUAUGAGGGAUGUGGUUUAGUCUCAUAAAUCAUAAAGGGGAAUAUUCCUUUUGCUGCUCUUUUCUGCACUAAUACUUGUACCUGCAGGUUAGGCUUGAACUGAUGGGAAAGAAGGCAAAGAAUGCAACCAAUAUUUCUGGAAAUGAGGCUGGGAAAAUUUCCAAAGAGAUUUAGAAAGUGGAGAAGAGAAGGAUUGUUAAGAGUACUCUUUGCAAUGAAAGAAGUUCUCGGAGCUAUUGCAUGGUAGGAUUCCCUUGGACUUUCAAAUAUAUGAUAAUUCUUCCCCAGGUCUUGUCACUAGUUGGAUAUAACUUGCUUUCUAUUUCUGCACAGAUAAUCCUUGAUGUCCCAACAGUAGGAGGACGCUUGAUGCUUGUGGACAUGGCUGGCUCUGAAAAUAUUGAGCAAGCUGGCCAAAUUGUAUUUGAGGCAAAAAUGCAGGUAAUGUCUUGGUGGUGCUUAAUUUAUGCUGAUACUGCAUGCAGCACUUCCAUUGUCAUUGUAACAAAUGUUAAAUUAUGGUUAUAUUGAAUUCACAGACUGCAAAGAUCAACCAAGGAAACAUAGCUCUCAAAAGAGUGGUUGAAUCCAUAUUGCCAAUGGUGAUUCUCAUGUGCCUUUCAGAGACAGCAAACUGACCGUGCUUCUACAGGUAACUUUUAUUCACACUAAUGUCAGUUACUAGGGAUUAUAUUGUGCCCUGCCUUCUAACCUUGUAUGUGAAUGACAGUUCUCAUGUUCUUUUUGUGCAGGAUUCUUUCGAAGAUGAUAAAACAAAAAUUUUAAUGGUACUGUGUGCAAGCCCAGACCCAGAGGAAAUACACAAGACAAUCUCCACCCUUGAAUAUGGUGCGAAAGCAAAAUGUAUUGUCCGUGGUCCUCAUACGCUAAUCAAGGAUAAAAUUGGUACUGAAGAUUCAUAUGCUGUUAUUUUAGGAUCAAGGAUUGCUGCCAUGGAUAAAUUCAUCCCUAAACUGCAAAGGGAAAAUAAGCUCAAAGAGAAAGAGCGAAAUGAAGCACACAGAGAGUUACAGAAGAAAGAAGAGGCUGCUUCACUGAGAGCUAAACUUGAGCUUAUGGAAGGGAAAAUAUGCUGAUAGGGUAUGCCUAAGCACUGUUUUUGAGGAAGAAGAAAUGGAAGAAGAGGAAGGACUUAAGGAAAAUGUGGAAGCUGAAGAAGUGGAGAAAGAAGUUAUAGAGGAAAAGAGAGUGUGCAUGGUUGAUGGGUCUAGCCUCCAGAGUAAUUAUAAUAUGGGAUCCCUGACAUCUUUACCUAAGGAUUAUCAACAUACACCAACUGUGAAUCGGCCAAGCAGAAAUCCAGGGGAAGGAGAUGGCAAGGGGGGACCAAAUGAUAGGCUUGUCAGGAUCCGCAACAUAUUUACACUCUGUGGAAACUACAGAGAGCUCUCUCAACAUGUGACAACUCCAGCACCUACUGUUGCAUCAGUUAAAUCAGAAAAUGAGCAGAAACUGACAGAAGAGAUAAACAAAAGUCGAGUAUGUGAUGAGAUGGCAUUGGCUUCCAAGGAGAACUACAACCCUUCACUGAUGCGGAUACUGAAGUGUAUGUGAAAUGGGAGGCUUCAAAAGAGAAUCCAGGGAAGUUCAUUACAACACUUAAGGUUGUAAAAGAUGCAAGCCUUGCUGACCUGCGAAAGUUGAUUGCAAUUUAUCUUGGUGCAGACAAUCAAGCAUUCACUUUUCUCAUGCUUGGGGUAUAUCAUUUCUAAAUUCUCUAGCUUGUUGAUCUCUUCUUAAAAAAUGGAAAACUUUAUUAAGACAAUCAUGCUAACAUGGUUGUUUUUACUGACAAAAAAGUUGUUAUAAAUCAAGAAAUAUAGUGCAUCUCUGUGAUUAAGAAACCUUGAUUCAAACUUCUAUUCUGUAUAUAUGCAGGACCCCACUGGAGCUUCAAUAAAUCAAAUGGCCACCUUGCUAGCUUGAGACCACUGAAGGGAAUGCAAAGCCCAAGUCAGCUCCCCUUAAUUCCUCUCCCAUUGAAAUCACUGGAAAAUAGACUACCACUAAUUAAAAUAAUUUAAAAAGACUAAGAUUUUACUAAAUAACAUAAAUUAAAUUAAAGAAGGUCGCCAAAAAACAAAAGUAAAGAAACUAAUUUUAUACUUUUAAAUAAUUAAUUACUAUUUAUUAAAUCAGUAAAAUAUUUAAAUAUUCACUAAAGAAACAAUAAUUAAAAUGUAAUAACUAAUUAAAGUAAUUAAAAAAGAUUAACAUUUUAUUUAAUUACAUAAAUUAAAUUAAAGAAGGUUGCCAUAAAACAAAAGUAAAGAAACUAAUUUUAUACUUUUGAAGCGUAUAGCCGCUCGGCUAUAAGUUUAGAAUAUUCUUUUUAAAUAGUAUAGCCACGCGGCUAGACCUUUAAAAUAGAAUAUUUAUAGUGUAUAGCCGUGCGGCUAUACUCUUUUAAUAUAUCACCAACAAUAAAAAUAUGGAUUUAUGUGUAGCAAAAAUAUGGAUUUAUAGUGUCAUAUUUCCUUAAAUAUAUUCGAAUAUUUGAGUAAUUUAUGAAAUCAUUAAAAUAUUUAAACAUUAAAUAAAUAAUAAUAAUUAAAAUAUAAUUAUUAAUUAAAGUAAUUAAAAAAGGCUAAGAUCUUACUUAAUUACAUAUAUUAAACAAAAAUAGUUGGCAAAACACAAAAGUAAAGAAACUAAUUUCAAAUAAAAUAAAAAAACCUCUCCCGACGAAUGAUUUUGUCAGCAGAGACCUAAGCUACCAAACAUUUGUCGGAUGAGACUUCUCCUGAUGAAUGUUGGCCGGCAUAGGUCUAUGAUAUUACUAAUCAAAGUAAUUAAAAAAAACUAAGAUAUUACUUAAUAACAUAUUAUUAAACUAAAGAAGUUGGCAACCAAAAAAAAAAGUGAAAAAACUAAUCCAGCAAUAUCAACUAAAGAAAGUAAUGCCAUAUAUAAAUUUUGAUACAAUCACAAAACUAACCAGGCUUUGAAUCAAAUGUCACGGGGAUAUCAACUCAGGAAGUCCAAUUUGGGCUUGAAUUCCCAGGGAUAUAUAAUAGGAAUUCAUUAAAAGGAUUUCAUUAAUAAGAUUAAAAUGAAAUGUUUUCAAGUCACAAAUCAUUCCCCAAAUUCAAAACGGCGUCGUUUUAUUUUGGUAUUAUCAGAAAGAAAACCAGGGCGCAGUGGUCAUCUUCUUCACAAGAACUGCGCCUCAGUUGCAACUGCAAGAGAUUUUCCGGCAAGGGGAGGUGCAGCUGCACCUCCUUGCGCCUUAAUAGGUCCGCCAGUAACAGCUUUGGUUUGCUGCAAUGGGAACCAAGGGCAGCUUGUGUUUUGCAAACAGCAUGGCGUCGCUGUAAAAUAGAGAAGCUUCAAAAGUCUCCCAGGUUGGCUAAAGAGGGUAGUCUUUCUGCCACCGAUCACCAUGCUGUCUCAAAAACACAGCAUAAGUAGGUAUGGCUAAUAAACUGUUAAAGCAUUGAUGUAAUUCAGGCAGUGUUCGAAAAAUCGGCCUUGGCGGAAGGACACUGUUGACCAAACAUGUUAAGCUACGGCUUCAACAUUGUUAUCAAGCCAUUUUGUUUCAGAGUGCCUGCUCAUUUAACCAGCCAGUGUUUGAAAAAUCGGCCUAGACGGCGCUUAAGAGCUAGGCGGCUGCCCGUAGGGUUUUUAUGGUGGCUCUUUUAUUUCUCCUGUUUUGAUGAUUUUAGAUUCACAUGUUAAGCUAUGGCUUCAACAUUGUUAUCAAGGCAUUUUGUUUCAGAGUGCCAACUCAUUUAACCAGCUAGUGUUUGAAAAAUUGGCCUAGGCGGCCGCCUAGAGGGUGUUCAUGGUGGCUCUUUUAUUUAUCCUGUUUUGAUGAUUUUAGAUUCACAUGAUAAGCUACGGUUUCAACAUUGUUAUCAAGGCAUUUUGUUUCAGACUGCCUGCUUAUUUAACCAGUCAGUGUUCCAAAAAUCGGCCUAGACGGCACCUAGGCGCUGGGCGCCCGCCUAGGCGGCCUGGGCGUGUCCUGGUGUGUCUGGGCGAGUCUGACUCAGAAAAAUGAGAUGAUGAUGAUGCUAUGUGUGAGAGAGAGAGAUGAGGAUUGAAGAAGAAGAUAGGUCGUGGGUUAUGUAUGAGCGAGAGAGAGGAGACAGCUCGGGUUAGACUUAGGGUUUGAUAUUUGCUGUGUGUGUGUGUGUGUGUGUGGUUUUUGUUGUUCUUAGGAUGAGCUUUUGUUAUAUAGUUGUUGUUUUGUCUAGUUUUUAAAGUAAUUAACAUGAGAUAUGCUGUACAGAAUGUUAGCUUAUGCUUACUGAAAGUGUAUACUGCCUAGCUUGUUGCAUGUUUGCAGCUGUUUUUAAGUUGAUCACCUUUCAGCUUUCCUGCUGAAGGCAAUUUAUGGGUCCUAUCAAUAAAGAAAGAAAGCUAGUCUCAUGCCAGGGAUAUGUUUCUAUUUCUAGACAUCCUAAGAAAUAUUAAAUAUAAUUGAAGCAAAUCAAGGAGCAUUUUUAGAAUGCUGACUUGUUGGAUUUUGCCAUUGUUUUUAGAAUGAAUGUUGCUCUGAAAGUGCUGUCAUGGGCAUUUAUCUAUAAUCAAUUGGGCGGAUGUUCGCUGUUGCAGUUUCUGAGACCCUCCGGAAAGUUUGUAUUCUCUAACUUCUGGGUUCCAGUUCGUAUUCUCUAACUUCUGGGUUCCGUUUUUACCUUUUCGCAGUUUAUCUUAUAGCUCAAUUUAAUCAAAGAUGUCUGCAUGCUAGAAACAUGAUAAUUGUAUGUAAUAUGCAUAGGUGAAUCUUGUGACCAGGCCUGGCAGAGAACUCCUAUUUACUGUUGUCUCACAGGACGAAAAAUACAAAGCCAAGUCACAAGCUUCCAAAUUCUUUUUUACAUAGAAAAUCAAAUGCAUUUGGUUUUUUUAUAAAAUAAGUUCAUCUACGAAACUGUGUCACUUGGUGCUUGCUGCUGUUGGUGUCUUAGUUUCCUCUAUACGAGAAAGUGCAUGUGUUCAACUUUAAGUUCCUCUAUACCCAACUAUUUGAAACGCUGUUUCACUAAUUACAUGAUACUGCAGGUUUGCAUUGAUGUAUUUGUUCAAAGACUUGGAGAUAUGCUUCAGCAGGAAUGUACAAGCUAGCUUUCAGCACUACUAGUACUGUUAAUGGGAGAGCGUCAAUUGUGUCUCACUACUACAAAAAAGCAAAAAGACGACGGUAAAUCACCGUCGUGUAUUUGGUUUUUCAAUGGUCGUGGAAUCCACCGUCAUCUUUUCCCUCAUAAACCACGACGCUAAAUAACCGUCGUUGUUAAACAAUACAACGUCAUCAAAAAAUACAAAACGACGUCUUUGUACUGCAAAAAGAUCUAAAAAAAGCAAUCGAGGAUGAUAAUAGACGACCAAUUCUCUAAAAACACCGUCGUUAAAAAGGGAAAAUAUGACACAUAUUAAGAGAACAAAGCCGCAAGAUAGACAUACAACGACGACAAUAAAAAUACGCCGACGUUAAAUAUAAUUUUCACGACAAUAAAAAAUAUGACGUCUUUAAAUACAUUAGAAGACGACGUUAUUGAUACCUACUACGUCGCACAUAUAAACACAACCGUCGUACAAUUAAUUUUCCACUUCGAUUUUUCGAUAAAAGAUGACGUGGAAAUAGUUGUCAGUGUCAUUAUUUACGACGUAUGUGUUUCUAUAGUAGACGUUGAAAAACUAAACAACGUCAGUUACAAAUAUAUGAGAGUCGUAUUAAAAAAUUUAUACGUCCUAUUUUCAGAAACAAACAACGACCAUAAAUAUUAGACGUUGUUAAAUACAACAACGUCGGAAAACAAUAAAAACAGACGUGUUUAGUCUGCUAAAGUUCUACAACGUCUCUUAUUUACAAAAAACCGUCGUGAAAUAAAUUUUCCACUUCGAUUUUUCUAAAAAAGAUGACGUGGAAAUAGUUGUCAGUGUCAUUAUUUACGACGUAUACAUUUAUAUAGUCGACGUUGUAUUUAUAUGUAUUCAUUACUCACGACGCACUUAAUAAUAUAGACGACGUUGAACGUCUAAACAACGUCGGUUCCAAAUAAAUGAGAGCCGUAUUACAGAACAUAUAGACGGCGUAGAUUAUGAUGGGAGCCGUAUUACAAAUAACGUCGUUUAAUUGUUAUUAGACGGCGGUUAUAAUGAAUUUCCGUCGGAAUUAAUUUCGUUCCUCUUCGUUUAUAAAAGACACUUGCGACGUGGAACAACUGUAUGAUGACGUCGUAUUUUUUAACGUUCANNNNNNNNNNNNNNNNNNNNNNNNNNNNNNNNNNNNNNNNNNNNNNNNNNNNNNNNNNNNNNNNNNNNNNNNNNNNNNNNNNNNNNNNNNNNNNNNNNNNNNNNNNNNNNNNNNNNNNNNNNNNNNNNNNNNNNNNNNNNNNNNNNNNNNNNNNNNNNNNNNNNNNNNNNNNNNNNNNNNNNNNNNNNNNNNNNNNNNNNNNNNNNNNNNNNNNNNNNNNNNNNNNNNNNNNNNNNNNNNNNNNNNNNNNNNNNNNNNNNNNNNNNNNNNNNNNNNNNNNNNNNNNNNNNNNNNNNNNNNNNNNNNNNNNNNNNNNNNNNNNNNNNNNNNNNNNNNNNNNNNNNNNNNNNNNNNNNNNNNNNNNNNNNNNNNNNNNNNNNNNNNNNNNNNNNNNNNNNNNNNNNNNNNNNNNNNNNNNNNNNNNNNNNNNNNNNNNNNNNNNNNNNNNNNNNNNNNNNNNNNNNNNNNNNNNNNNNNNNNNNNNNNNNNNNNNNNNNNNNNNNNNNNNNNNNNNNNNNNNNNNNNNNNNNNNNNNNNNNNNNNNNNNNNNNNNNNNNNNNNNNNNNNNNNNNNNNNNNNNNNNNNNNNNNNNNNNNNNNNNNNNNNNNNNNNNNNNNNNNNNNNNNNNNNNNNNNNNNNNNNNNNNNNNNNNNNNNNNNNNNNNNNNNNNNNNNNNNNNNNNNNNNNNNNNNNNNNNNNNNNNNNNNNNNNNNNNNNNNNNNNNNNNNNNNNNNNNNNNNNNNNNNNNNNNNNNNNNNNNNNNNNNNNNNNNNNNNNNNNNNNNNNNNNNNNNNNNNNNNNNNNNNNNNNNNNNNNNNNNNNNNNNNNNNNNNNNNNNNNNNNNNNNNNNNNNNNNNNNNNNNNNNNNNNNNNNNNNNNNNNNNNNNNNNNNNNNNNNNNNNNNNNNNNNNNNNNNNNNNNNNNNNNNNNNNNNNNNNNNNNNNNNNNNNNNNNNNNNNNNNNNNNNNNNNNNNNNNNNNNNNNNNNNNNNNNNNNNNNNNNNNNNNNNNNNNNNNNNNNNNNNNNNNNNNNNNNNNNNNNNNNNNNNNNNNNNNNNNNNNNNNNNNNNNNNNNNNNNNNNNNNNNNNNNNNNNNNNNNNNNNNNNNNNNNNNNNNNNNNNNNNNNNNNNNNNNNNNNNNNNNNNNNNNNNNNNNNNNNNNNNNNNNNNNNNNNNNNNNNNNNNNNNNNNNNNNNNNNNNNNNNNNNNNNNNNNNNNNNNNNNNNNNNNNNNNNNNNNNNNNNNNNNNNNNNNNNNNNNNNNNNNNNNNNNNNNNNNNNNNNNNNNNNNNNNNNNNNNNNNNNNNNNNNNNNNNNNNNNNNNNNNNNNNNNNNNNNNNNNNNNNNNNNNNNNNNNNNNNNNNNNNNNNNNNNNNNNNNNNNNNNNNNNNNNNNNNNNNNNNNNNNNNNNNNNNNNNNNNNNNNNNNNNNNNNNNNNNNNNNNNNNNNNNNNNNNNNNNNNNNNNNNNNNNNNNNNNNNNNNNNNNNNNNNNNNNNNNNNNNNNNNNNNNNNNNNNNNNNNNNNNNNNNNNNNNNNNNNNNNNNNNNNNNNNNNNNNNNNNNNNNNNNNNNNNNNNNNNNNNNNNNNNNNNNNNNNNNNNNNNNNNNNNNNNNNNNNNNNNNNNNNNNNNNNNNNNNNNNNNNNNNNNNNNNNNNNNNNNNNNNNNNNNNNNNNNNNNNNNNNNNNNNNNNNNNNNNNNNNNNNNNNNNNNNNNNNNNNNNNNNNNNNNNNNNNNNNNNNNNNNNNNNNNNNNNNNNNNNNNNNNNNNNNNNNNNNNNNNNNNNNNNNNNNNNNNNNNNNNNNNNNNNNNNNNNNNNNNNNNNNNNNNNNNNNNNNNNNNNNNNNNNNNNNNNNNNNNNNNNNNNNNNNNNNNNNNNNNNNNNNNNNNNNNNNNNNNNNNNNNNNNNNNNNNNNNNNNNNNNNNNNNNNNNNNNNNNNNNNNNNNNNNNNNNNNNNNNNNNNNNNNNNNNNNNNNNNNNNNNNNNNNNNNNNNNNNNNNNNNNNNNNNNNNNNNNNNNNNNNNNNNNNNNNNNNNNNNNNNNNNNNNNNNNNNNNNNNNNNNNNNNNNNNNNNNNNNNNNNNNNNNNNNNNNNNNNNNNNNNNNNNNNNNNNNNNNNNNNNNNNNNNNNNNNNNNNNNNNNNNNNNNNNNNNNNNNNNNNNNNNNNNNNNNNNNNNNNNNNNNNNNNNNNNNNNNNNNNNNNNNNNNNNNNNNNNNNNNNNNNNNNNNNNNNNNNNNNNNNNNNNNNNNNNNNNNNNNNNNNNNNNNNNNNNNNNNNNNNNNNNNNNNNNNNNNNNNNNNNNNNNNNNNNNNNNNNNNNNNNNNNNNNNNNNNNNNNNNNNNNNNNNNNNNNNNNNNNNNNNNNNNNNNNNNNNNNNNNNNNNNNNNNNNNNNNNNNNNNNNNNNNNNNNNNNNNNNNNNNNNNNNNNNNNNNNNNNNNNNNNNNNNNNNNNNNNNNNNNNNNNNNNNNNNNNNNNNNNNNNNNNNNNNNNNNNNNNNNNNNNNNNNNNNNNNNNNNNNNNNNNNNNNNNNNNNNNNNNNNNNNNNNNNNNNNNNNNNNNNNNNNNNNNNNNNNNNNNNNNAGAUGCAUCUUUGCCUUCCUUCCACUUGAGAUACCACAGUAGGACAAUUAGUUGAAUCCUCAUACUCUUCCUAUACAAGAUGCAAUCAUUGGGGCAUGCGUGCAUUUUCUCAUAACUCAGCCCCAAUGCACACAAAGUCUUUUUAGCCUCAUACAUGGAGGUUGGUAUUGUAUUUCCUUCUGGAAGCAAAUCGCCUUGAAGUAUCAAUAAUUCUGUAAAACAGACAUCACUCAUCCCAUGUUUUGCCUUCAAAUUAUACAACUUCACUAAUGCCGAUAACUUCGUGUACUUUCUACAACCAGGGUACACUGGUUGAUCUCCAUCCCCAAUCACAUUGGCAAACUCAUACGGAUCCGAACCAAAAUCACCAAAAUCAUUAUCAUCCAUAUCAAUUUCUUCAGACACAAAACUGUACCUACUAUGGCCAUCAUCUUCUUCAACAUUUCUGCUAGCAUUAGUAGUUGCUUCCCAAGGUUCUCCGUGAAAUGUCCAAUUCUUAUAGCUUUGGUCAAUUCCAUUAAAGUAUAAGUGAUCCCUUAUAAUUCCAACCCCAAACAACUUCAAAUUAACACAUUUAACACAUGGACAACGGAUAUGUGUUGUAGUUAGAAGAUUUUCUACAGCAAAGUUCAAAAAUGCUUCCACCCCAAACUCAUAUGCCUUCGAUCUUCUAUCCGAGUGCAUCCAUGACUUAUCCAUCUCCGACACUAUAACCUAUUAUCUAUAAUAAAGUGAAAAUACAAGCAAUGACCAUCACUAUAGCAGAUUAUACAAUGAUCUAAUCGCAAGUAAUAAACAACAGAGACGACGGGUUUUAAUCAAAAACAGACGUAUUUGGCAUAUAUAGACGACGGAUUUUCAACAGACGUCGUCUAUUAUACGUAAUACAAACGACGGUUUAUGAAAAAACCGUCGUGUAUAAGUAAUACAACGACGGUAGUUUAAAAACACCGUCGUGUAAUCGUCGUCGUACGCCUUAAAAUUCGUCGUGUCUCAGUUUAUUUUCAAGAACACAAAACCCAUUAAGAACACAACAUAUAUAUGAAACCAAGCAAGAAACCAACAUAUACAUGAAACCAAGCAUGAAAACAAUAAAUCCAUUCCCAAUUCAACAUAACAUAGGGUGAUUAAAAGAUACGACAAAAUUAAAUCCAUUCCCAAUUCAACAUAACAGAUAAUGUAAUCCAUGAACCCAUUAAACAGAAAAUCCAUGAACCCAUACCUAUAAGCAUUGGUGCACUUUGCACCUUCUCCAGAGCGGAAAAUGACAAGAUCAAAUAAAGGUGUCCUUUUGCUGGAAAUCAUUUGGAAGUUGGUGAUGUGUCUUUUUGUGUUGAUUUCCAGCAAAAGUACACCUUUAUUUGAUCUUGUCAUGAACCCAUUAAACAGAAAAUCCAUGAACCCAUACCUAUUUCCAGCAAAAGUACACCUUUAUUUGAUCUUGUCAUGAACCCCUUUAACAAAACAACCUAAUAUCAUUCAAUGAAUUUACAAGGGGAAGAUAGGGUUUGUACUUACAGGUUGGACGAGCUCACAGAUUCGACGAGCCUGGAGAGUGCAACUUUUAAUUAGAGCAGAAGUGAGAGAGCGAAAUGUUAUGUCGCGUGAAAUCUGAAAUUUUAGGUUUCAGGGAUCAAAGUAUAAGAAUAAGAGCCAAAUCUAAAAAAAUUUAGGUCGCGCGAAAAUUUUUAGAGCGCGCGCGUUAUAAAACGUCGAAAGAAAAACCAAGGCGAAAGUUCUACAAGUACCGACGUAAAUUUAAUAUUCCACGACGGAAACUUCAUUUUUCGGAUUAAGAACGUAAGGCCGUUCAUUUUUCGGAUUAAUUUUAAAUUUAUUUUGAAUUUUUUAUAUAACGACGACUGAAAAACCACGUCGGUGUUAAGAAAUUAAAGACGUUGUAAAUUAUAUAAACCGACUUACAUAUUAAAAUAACGUCGUUUAAAGCGUAAACCAUGUCGUAUGUUUUACUGUACGACGUAAAAUAUGUAUUCCACGACCCAACCACCGUCGUUAAAAAUUAAUACACUAAACCCAUAAAAUUAAAUUAUACAAUUUAAAAAAUUAAGUUUAUAAAAGGUUUUAUGGUUUUAAAGCCUAACAUAUACCCUAGACUACCCAAAAAUUAUACUUUAAAAAUAAACCCCAAUAAAUAACAACCCUAAUCUCUAAACCCUAGACUCUAAACCCUAAACCAUAAAACUAGAAGUGAUUUUAUGACUCAUCAAAACAAUUUUGUUUUGGAUGGUCAUUUUAAAUUUUUGUUAUUCAAAAUGAAUUUUUUCAAGGUUUAUGUGGAAGAAAAUAUAUCAAUGACUUCAUAGGAGUUGACUUUUCAAUUUUCUGAUUUAUUUUAUAUUUAUUUUGAAUAUUUUGAUAUAAAAAUAAUAAAAUAUUCUUACCAUACAACAAACCACGUCGGUGUUAAAUAAAUUGUAGACGUUGUAAAUUGUAAUAGACUACUAAGUCGUUAAAAUGACGUCGUUAAAAUGAGAAACCAUGGCGGCUAUUUAACUAUACGACGUAAAAUAUAUAUUUUACGACUUAACCGCAGUCGUUACAUAAACGUCGUCGAUUAUACCCUGAACCCUUAAGAAAUUGAAGAUAUUGUAAACCAUUAACGACUCAAUUGUUCAAAGAACGUCGUCUAACUAUUUUUUUACGUCGUAUUUGUUUAAAACACGCAACAACAAAAUACGACGGUUAUUGACUUUAUUAGGUCGUUGGAAAAGUAUUACACGUCGGUUAAGCAAUUUGUAUGUUUGUUUUUUUUUUAAUUUAAGAAAACCUCAACAAAUUUUUACAUUACAUAUUAUAGAGAAAAUUGGUACAUUAUACAUAAAUAUCAAGUGUUCAAUAAUUGCCCUGUUUAAUAAUUUGGAAAACAAACUCUGCCCAUUCAUUCCGGACUUCAUCAAUGGCUUCUUGGGGGUAUGAAGCUUCCUGGUUUCCCUUGGCAUACUGCAUAAACAAUGACUAUUAGGGUUUAUAAAUAAAAAGAAAUUCAAUCACAGACGACGAUAUUUUUCAUAACCGACGUAGUAUAUCCAUUCAACGACGUUAAUUUUACACGACCGUCGUUGAUAAUACAAAAAACGACGUGAAAUGUAUGAAGGUAAUUUCUUCUUACCUUAUUCUCAAACCCCAAGGAAGGAUCCAUGAUGAUGUCCCUCAUGAAGCGCAUUACAUAAUACCCGCAUUCGACAUUGCUGGGUUGCUUUGGUGUGCCUGAGAGAGUUUUCCAAAUUACAUUUUUACGUCCUGCUCGGGCUAUGUGGGUAUUAUAUAUUUUUAAAGCACUGUUCACGAUGUUUUUGGCCUCUUCAUCGACCACACGAUUUCCUGGCAGAGGAUCCAGAAAAUAGACGGUUUCUCUCUUUGCUCUUACAAUCAGCAAAAUCCAAUGACGGCUGCACAAAAUUAAUAUAAAAACGACGGUUAUUUACAAAAACGACGUAUUAUAGUAUUUCACACGACGAAGUAAAGUAGCUAACGACGACAUUAUAUAUUUAUCACGACGAUAAAUAAAUACCGACGUGGUUAGUAGUUUCAAACGACUAAAUAAAAUAAAACACCGACGUGGUUAGUUUAUAAGCUGUCAUUUAUUGAAAAUCAUAAAAACAAAAUCCUAAGGAGACUAACCCUGGAUUGUAAGGCAUCAUGAAAAUCUGUUCACCGUCUGUCUUCUGAAGUCGAGCUGCUACGAGUCGUGAUCUUUCAGUUAUUGUGCCAGAGUUGGCACUAACUGUAGCAGGGUCGAUAAAGCCAACCAUACUGCACAUAUUGGCUUUUUUCAAAACAUCGUGUAAGUACCUAAACAAAUAAAAUAAUAUAAACAAGUCAGCACACAAAACACGACGGUUAUGUAUAAAAAAACGACGUAUUAUAAUAUUUCACACGACGUACUGAAAUAGAUGAGGACGUUAUAAUAUAUUUAUCACGACGGUUGUUAGUUAAGACGACGUGGUUAGUUAGUUAAGACGACGCAAUAUAUAAACCAACGAGUUAUUAUUUUAGAAGUACAAACCUCAUAUAUACAGCCAAUACAGUAGCUCCAAUUUCUUCCAUGCCUGCAAAUUGUGUAAUAUCUUCAGGCAGGAGGAAGGUAUCGCGCUCACCACCAAACACCUCCUUAUCAAUUGUAAAUUGGACUGUCUUAUCCUCAAGCAGGAGUGUCGUUUCCACAAAACGACAAAGGGUUUUUAAAGAAGAUGGCGCCUCCAUUUUUGAAUAAGCACCAACUUCAAUAACCUGUUUAAAGAAAUAAAAAAAAUGACGUGGUAAUUCAAUAAAGACGACGGUUUAAGUAAUAAAACGUCGUCUUAAAAGUAUUUAAACGACGGUGAAAAAACUGUCGUGGUAAUUCAAUAAAGACGACGGUUUUAUGAAUAAAGCGUCGUCUGAAACCAUUUAAACGACGGUGCAAAAACCGUCGUUUAAAUAUUUUAUUACGUCUUAAAAAAAUUCCGCCGUCUAAGUUUUAAACAAACGACGGAUUAAAUAAAAAUAUCGACGUCUGAAAUUUUGAAAAACAAAUAAAAAAGGCAAAGUUAUGUGAACAUACCUUGUCGUCAUGCUUUUCUUCAUCUUCUUUCUCCUUUUCUUCUUCCUUCUCUUCAUCUCUUUUUUCUUCUUCCUUCUCUUCAUCUGGCUGAUGUUUCCCCAUUUUGGCAGUAUCAUCCUCCAAAUGUAGGGAUCUCACAUCACCUCCAGAGCAGCUAGCUUUGUCAGACAUUGGAUUUUUGGGGCUUUGGCUAAUUCUUGGUUUAAGCAUGCUUGGAUCAAAAUUGGGAAUUAAUUGGGAAAGCUGACUCAGGAAAUGCUCCCUCUCAGCCUCUACCAAUUGUUUUGUCCUAGCCUCCAUCCUUAAGGCCUCUUCCCUUGCCUUAGCCUCCAUCUUUUUAGUCUCUUCUUGAAGGAGAACUCUUAAACUGUCCUUCAAACGGUCGUCAAAGCUCACCCUCUGUGGUUUGGGCAAAUUGAAAUAUUGCCUUGGGGAAACACCAGCACCAACUCCCCUCAGUCUGCCUGGAUGCUCGGGGCCCAAAGCCAUGGUCAGCACAUCAUUGCUGCCAUCUACUCUGACUUUGCCUUCCGAGACUUGUUUCUGCAAUUCAUCCUAAAAAAAGAUAAACAAAAAAACACACGACGGUUAUUUAUGUACAAACGACGUAUUAUAUAAUUUCACACGACGCAAUAACGUAUAAACCGACGUUAUUAUAACUUAUCACGACGGUAGUUAUACCGACGUGGUUAUUUAUUUAAAACGACGAAAUGAAUAAACAACCGACGUCUUAUGCUAUAAUUAAAGAUAACAGAGUAGUGAUUCCUAUUUAGACCGUUAACGACGUUUUUAAAAAAUUUUCGACGUGGUAAUAUCAUUCACACGACGCGAAAAUGAACCACCGACGUCUUAUGCUGUAAUUACAGAAAACAUAGUAGUGAUUCCUAUUUAGACCUUUAACGACGUUUUUAAAAACUUUUCGACGUGGUAAUAUCAUUCACACGACGAAAAAUAUAACAUACGACGUAAUAAGAAUAAUUCACAGUUUAAUAAAAAUUUAAAACAGAGUGAUAGUAGGCUUACAAUUAAUUUUGCUUUCUCUGCCACCUUUGGAUCAGGGAUGUUACCAUGUUUGUCCUGUCUAGCUCUCUUCCAUAAGGUAGAUCGAUCAAUUUCUACCCCAGGCAUGGUUUCCUCCAAUUGAUCCUCCAAUCCAGCAUAUCCUUUUCGAGACAAUCGAUGAUUGUACUCGAGUUUCUCCCUAAUCUGUGCAUGUUGAGAAUGCACAGACUCAAAAUCUUUGGAUAGCCUUGAAGCUACAAAGGCAUCCCAUUGUGCUUUCUCUAUGAAUUUAUAUGUUUCAGGGGGUUGGCUUAAUUUCUCCCUGUCAUUGGUGUAUGGAAGGAUAUAAUGCCUCGUUAGUGUAGACUUGAAAUCCUUCCAUUUCUUGGAAGCAGAAGCUAAAACAGAGGUCUUGCCCCCUUGGCCUACGACAAAAGCCAUGUCAACUGCUUCCCAAAUCUGCUCCUUUAUAUCCUUGGGGAUUUGGGACCAUUUCUUGUCCACAAGUGGGAUCCUGGAGCGUGCCAACACACCAAUAUACGACUGCAUCUCAAUAUGUGCUUGGCCAACACCUUUCCCCCUUUUAUUGUACUCAACAAUUGGCCUCAGUUUCUGAAGCUUUCUCUUCACAACACGAGGCAUUGUGCUCAUACCUCGACCAGUCUUUGAAUCAUCUGAGAUUGUUGUCUGGCUGGUUUGUUCUGUCUCAGCAGAUGAUGAAGCAAACUUCAUCUUCUUCGAAGACUUCAUCUCCUUCGAAGACUUAUCUUGAGGAGCUACCAUUCCAAGCUUCUUGGAGCCAGAAUCCUUAGUUUGUUGUUGAGAAACCAUUUUAACAGACAAAACUGCAAGUGAAAAUAUUUCAGGAAAACAUUAAGAACACAAACGACGGUAUUAAAAAAAUACGACGUAUGAUAUGAUUUUAGACGACGCAAUGAAAUAAUCUCAGACGUAAUAAAUGUUUAAAACCAUUAUUUAUAUAACGUCGUGGUAUAUAUGUUCACACGACGUCAAUAGUAAUACACCGUCGUGGUAAACUAUUAUUUAUAUAACGUCGUGGUAUUUAUGUUCAUACGACGUCAAUAGUAAUACACCGUCGUGGUAUUAACAUUCACACGACGUAAAACAAUAAGAUAUUUUGUCGUCUAUAUUAGAUACCAACCCUAGUUUCUUUUUCUUUAUAUUUUAUCAAAUAAGGGAAAAACAAAAACCAUUGUUCAGCGAAAUCAAACCUGCAAUUAAACAAGCAUAUAAAAAAAGACUAUUAUUUUAAAAACAACUUUGUCAAUUUUCAGACGACGCUAGAACAACUGACGAACCGUCGUGGUCUACCGUCGUCUUAUUUAGUUGAUGUAGUUGUCUUCAAAGUUGGAAACUUUCUCUCUUUGUCUGUAUAUUUUAUCAAACUUGGAAAGAAGUAAAAUGAUUUUGGCCAGAAAAAAGGUAAAAAGAUUUUUCAAACAAAAAACGUAUGAGCAUGCAAAACAGUAACCAAAAUAGUGAAAAUGAAAGCUUACCUUUUGCGUGCAAUGAAAGCAAGAGGAAGAUGAUCGAUGUUUAAGUUCAGAGACGACGAAGAAGACGAGAGGAAGACGAUGAGAAACUCUGACAAUGCUCUGACAAGGAAAAAAGACGAAAAGGUUUCUCUGGGAGAUUGAAAUUUUUAAUCGGGUUUGGAAACAGUGCAUGUGUAAGUCGAAAAGUUGCUUACAUAUAAAACCAUUUCAAAAAAAUAAUACGGCGGUUACAUUUAACUACGUCGUUUUUAACUAAAACGACGCAAUAUUUUUCAUUCGACGUGGAAUCAUUUCAUUUAACGUCGUUAGGUUUAAUAUAACUGACGUGGAUUUUAAUUUUUAAAUUAUGAAUAGAAUUUUUUUUCCCGUGACCUUUCAGUUUAUUUUUCAAUUACAGUGCGUUAUAAAUAGAGUUUUUUUUCCGGAGGAAAUUUAAAACGAAGGAAAUUAAUAUUCUGCAAUAUGUAAAGUUUCUUUUUUGGAUGACAGAUUUAAAUAAAAUAAGAAUAUAAAAACAACAAAUGUGUAAGUCAAGUAGACGAAAAGUUGCUUACAUAUAAAACCAUUUCAAAAAAAUAAUAUGGCGGUUACAUAUAACUACGACGUAUAAAUUACAAAAUACGACGGUACAUUUAACUUCGGACGUGGUAAAUAAAUACGACAGUAGUUUGUAGGUACCGUCGUAGUAAACUCAAAAAUUAAAGUACAUAAGUAAUAACUCGCGUCAUGGUAUAUUAUUUAACACGUCGUUUUUAUUAAUUUACCGACGUGGAUUUCUGUAAUAUACGUCGAUCAUACCGACGUUGAUUUUACAAUUUAAACGGCGGUUUUUUUGUAAGGACCGCCGUUGGUUUUAAAAAUUUAUUCUAUAAAUUUGUCGCUUUCAUUCAUUUUCGGUUUACAUUUAAGGUUCCAAGUUCUUCCUCUCUCAGUCUCUCAUGUCUCAAAGAUAAUAAUUUGGAUGUUUUCUCAAAGAGAAAUUGAGCUUACUCGCAUCAAAUAUAUGUCCACAAGAAGAAGCUUGUCAACUAGCCUUCUCACUUCCUUGAUCAAGCCUGAUAGGACACUUAGUGCUUCUGAAUACUCCUUGCUUUCCAUCAAAAGAGAUGCAAGCCUGGCCUCCACUCGCUGUCGAAGGAAAGUUCGCUUCUCAGGGAAAUCUGAAGAUCAGAUGUGCCUGAUCCUCUGCUUGAUUUUCUUGCCUAAGAAGAUCCGUCGGAUUUAUUGUGAUAGCCUCUUCCUUUAUCCGUAGAGCUUCAGAAGAAGAAGAUGGGUUUCAAGAAUGCGAUAAAGAAUAGAAAUGGCUUCAGAUGGCCUCUAAAGCAUGAGCAAUUGAAUCAGUAGUUUCUGGGAGAUAUGAUGAAGACAUUGUCAAUGCUUUGAACUACACAAGUCCUGCAGAAAGAUAUGCUAAAGAAACUGAAACAACGGCGGUUUUCUGUUCUACCGUCGUCUUUUCUCGUCGUCUAUAUUAAGUUACGAUGGCGGUAGAUUUAUAAUUACCGACGUAGAUUAUUUUGUUAAACGUCGUUAAGUGUACUACAACCGACGUGGAUUUUAAUUUUAAAUUAUAAAUGGAGUUUUUUUUCCCGUAUUCUUUCAGUUUUAGUUUUCAAUUCCAAAGCGUGAUAAAUAGAUUUUUCUUUCCCGAGGAAAUUUAAAAUGAGGGAAAUUAAUGUUCUAGAAUUUGUAAACUAACACGACGCAAUAUUUGCAAAUCUGUGUCAUCUGUUAAGAUUAUGAUGUGGAACAGAGUUCCAUCUGGUAAGAUUUCGUAACCCUUGGGAUCUCAGACAAAACUGAUUAUGUCGGCGGUGUUCUAUAUAAACCGUCGUGGUUAUUUCAAUUCUUGUCAUUAAGUAGAUCUACCGACGUAGGAUAAGAAAAUCAAAGAAAAAAAUUGUUAACAAAAAUUCUUAUUAAGACGACCGUUAAAAUUAAAGGUACGACGUAUAAAAUGAAUAAAUACGACGAUAAAUUUUAUUGUACGAUUUAAAGAUAACGUAGUAGAACUAUACGAGAAUGACGUCGAUAUAUUUAUAUUUUCCGUCGUUGUAAAUUAAUUUAAUACGGCGAUAUUUUGUAUUUUAAAGCCGUGGAUUUGUUUGUAAUUAUACGGCGUCUUAUACGAAAACCUCGUCGUCUUAUUUUAUGAGUAAAAACGGCAGUUUUUAUUGAAAUCGUCGUCUUUACUUUCUACGUCGGUCGAUUCAUAACUUCUGCCGUUCUUUGUUGGCAUUGAUUUUACACUGCGGAAAUCUGUUUCAAAUAGACGUCGGUUGUUUAAUUAUGUACGUCGUUGUUUUUGAACAGCCAUUUGAAACUCCAUUUUUUAGUUGUCUAAGGUUGUAUUACACGACGGUGUUUUUAGAACCGUCGUCUUUUUAUAAACCACGACGGUUUUCACUUAGACCGUCGUUGUUUUCUGGUCGUCUUUUUCACUUUUUGUAGUAGUGUCUCUUUACUGCCUGUACCUUUAUGGGAGAGCAUCACAUGUUUAGCUGUUUGUAUACUGUAAAGAUGAAUCAUUCAUGAGCUUUUGAACAAGUACCAUUACAAGAAGUUGUGUUAGCUCUUUUGUUAGACAUUACAGCAAGGGCAGCUUGCCAGUCAGUCUUUCGUACACGAUGUCAUACGAAACGCAAGUGCUUUUUAGCAAACGCAUGAGUAAAUUAACUAAAUAUUAAUGUUUGUAUCUACUGCGUUUAUCCAUGUAAGCAUUGAUGAUUAAUUGGAAAGGAAUUGCACUUUACAGAUUCAUUAGUAAUAUCAGAUUUGCCAUCUCAAUGCCACAGUCAGGUUUGAGCAUUUAAAGAGUAUAGCCAUGCGGCUAUAUACUUUCUAAAUACAUUGGAAUUUUUUAAAUGUAUAGCUGGGUGGUUAUACUCUUUAAGUAUUAUACCCAUAAUAGGUGAAUUACAAGUUAUAUUAUUGCAUAAUAGGAACUUAUAUAAAAAUGCAUUUAUAAAAGUUGGGUAUAUUAUUUGAACAAUAAGUAAAUUGAUACUAGGUACAUUAUUUUUAGUAAAAGAAGUAAUAGGUACGUUAUUUUUUAAACUUAUAUUUAUAAAAUAAUAAAAUAAUAGAUAAUUAAUCACAUAUACUUCAUAAAUUAAUAAAUUAAAACUUUUUUUUAUUAAAUUAACUGAUUAGGUAUGUUAAAUAUGAAUUUAUUGUUAAAUUUUAAAAGGAUUCCAAAUUAAUUCCUAUAUCCAUUUGGAGAUCUUUCCAAAUUCAACAUGUGUCAUUAGUUACAAUCUAUUAAAAUUUGUUUCUAUAUUGGUUCCUACAUUAAUUAAAAAUAUAUAUAUAAUAAUAGCUUAGUUGGGGGUAUUUUAGGAAUUGAAAAAGUACAAUAAAUUCGAUUCUGCACUUGAUUAGGUAACUUUUCGAGUUGGAUCCUAGUCAUCGGGUUUUAUUUAUAAAAAAUAGGAUUUCAUUCAAACAAAAAUAAAGAGAAGAGUUGUAGUUGAGGAAAAAUGACUUUGAAGGGGUUAAGCUAAAUUUACAAUUUUUUUUUUCUUUUCCAUUUAUAUUUAUUUAAACAAAAAAUGCUAAAACUUCUUCUGGGUACUUGGAGAAGAAACUUAUGAUGAAAAGCCAAUUAUUAAAAUAAAGCAUGCUUUUGGAUGCCAAUUAUCAUUGAAACCAUAACUUAGCCUGCAAGAAUAGUAUAGUCCCAUGUCGGCAGACGGUUUCCAAGCCAAAGUUGUCAAAUGAUGAGAUGAUGAAGGAGCAUCAGAUUCAGAUGGGAGAUUAGCCAUUAUGAUUAAGCAGCAUUUAUAAGAAAAUUGAUCACUUAAUCACAACAUUCUCCCUCAUAAUUUCAUCACUUUUGAAUUCUCAAUCUCGAGGAGGAGUAGUAACAAAAACUUAUAAAUAUCUCUUACACAUAGGUAUCUUCCAACUGCACGGAGGUGGGUAAGUGUCACGAGCGUUAACUUACUUGAAAUCUUAUCUUAUCCAUGGACCAUGGACCAUGCACCAUGCACCAACAUACACUUGUCGUGUCACAACAUUGCCACGUGUUUCAGUAGUUAACGUGGCACUAUGAUAUGAAAUCAGUAUCCAGGUAUGGGUAAGAAUUUAGCCUACAUGCACAUCAUGCAUGCCUUUACGUAAUUGCCUAUAUAAACCACCCCCAAUUCUCCAUCCAAUCCAAGACAACUUACACUUUCUACUCAAAAAAUCAAUCUACAAUCUCUAUUUGUUUCUUUGUGUUAUUGUGUGAUCUUUGAAAAUGGCGAAUUACCAGAACCAAUAUGGUGCAACGGCCCAAUCUACAAAUGAUUACGGGAACCCACUCACCAACUACACCGGAUCAGAGCCCCAAUCUACAAAUGAGUACGGGGCUACAGAUGAGUAUGGGAACCCAGUCACCACCUACACCAGAUCAGAGCCCCACUAUACAGAUGAGUAUGGGAACCCAGUACGCGAAAGGGGGAUGAUGGACAAGAUCAAGGAGAAGCUCCCAGGUACUCAUGACCCCUACUCAUCUCAUUCUCAGACAACCUACCCCACUGCACGUUACGGUGAAACCGGCUACACUGGAUUGGAGCAGCACCAUGGGAUGAUGAACAAGAUGCCAGGUACUGACCCCUACUCAUCUCAUUCUCAUACAACCGGCACCACUGCACCUUACGAUGGAACCGGCUACACCGGAACAGAGUACCGCCAGCACAAGGGCACGAUGGACAGGAUCAAGGAUAAGCUGACUGGGACUGGUGGACAUAGGGUGGAUGAUCCCUACUCAUCUCAUUCUCAUAAAACCGCCACCACCACACCUUACGGUGGCACCACCACCACAGCUUACGGUGACAGCACCACCACACCUUCACCUUACGGUGGCACCACCACCACACAUUCACCUUACGGUGGCACCACCACCACAGCUUACGGUGACACCACCACCACACCUUCAGCUUACGGUGGCACCACCACCACACCUUCAGCUUACGGUGGCACCGCCACCACCACCUACCCCCGUGAAAAGAAGGGCAUCAUGGACAAGAUCAAAGAGAAACUUCCUGGUGGACAUCAUUAUUAAUAAUAGGGUUAUGUAAGAGAUAGAUACGUUAGGUAUCGUUUUGUGUUCAAUGUUUUAGUAUGACGUGUAUAAUAAGCGGUGCUUGGUGUGGUUGUUAUGUUUGUGAACACCGAGCUCUGCGCCAUGUCCUUUGUAUUUUGUGAUACAUACUUUGUAUGUCCUUUAUAUCUAUCUUAACAAUAGUUCCUGUGUAAGCAAGUUUUAAUUGUUUGGAGAGGGAUUUAUUAAAACCAGCAAUAGUCUAAUUAUUUUAAAUUAUUAUAAUUUACAAGGAAUUCAAACUUGAGGCCAAAAACGUAAGGCUCACCUCUGCUAUUAUUCAUGGUAUUCACGAUUGGGUUGUAGAUAAAGAAUUUUAUGGCUAUACGUUGUGGUAUCUUACGGCACUUCAACAAUAAAGUAUCUAUUCCACACAAACAAAAGACGGUUCAUGUCACGAUUAUUGACUUAACCCACAUAUACUUUGAAAUUAAAUUUUUUUUCAGUAAAAGCAUUUAAAUUUGGAGUCAUUCUAUAAUGAAGGCGGCUCUUAGAUGAGAUAUUAUCUCUUAAUUAUUAAAUUAAAUUAAUUAUUUUGAUCUAACGAUUAACUAAUUUAAUUUAAUAAUUAAAAAAUAGAACAUCAUCUAGAUGAGACCCACACUUUAGAAUUUGGCUACUCAACAGAUUGGUCCGUUUCAUGUCGGCCGUUUGUAGACCAAACUGCUGAAAUUGGGCCGGUUCAAUUCAAUAACCCUGUACAGCUAGAACCAAUGGAUAACACCCACGUGGAACCUCAUACACGGAACGAUGAAAUCCCUCUUAUGAAUCUUAGCCAUCCAAUGAGUCGGUCUGUGUGACAAAGAUCAAGAUGAUGAAUGACUUUUACAAGGGUCAAAAGCUAGUGGAGUGGAACGGGUACAGAUGUUGUUGUUCCUCCUGUCGUCAUCAAUUCCAUACAGACGCGGUGAAAUGAUACCUGCUUUUCAAGACAACGAGAACCACUUAUUUUAUCUUAUCUUAAUCGUAAUCUUUAAUCUUAUGCCCGACGUAAAAAGAAAACAAAACAAAAACAAAAUAUCUUCCGAUGUGCCGACACCGGCACACAGGUGUCCUGUCUCAACAGCGCCACGUGUCUCAUAUGUGAAUAUCAGGUAGGUAUGAAAUUUACUUUGCUAAUUAUGUACGUGGGUACGUGUAAAGAUUAAUGAAAUUAUUAUUCAUGGCAUGGCAUGCGCGUUAUGCAUAAUGCAUGCAUAGCCUUUGGGUGUAGAUUCGUUGCCUAUAUAAACCAACCUCAGUUCUAAUUUCAAAUACAUCACUUCAUCCCAAACCAAAGCCAGUUUCAUUCAUUUGGUUUUUAUCAGGAGUUGUAUUUUCUUGUGUCUUUUUUUGUUCGUACUUUGAAAAAUGGCGCAUUUUGGUUCAACACCCGAGCCUACUAAGACUGAUGAGUAUGGGAACCCGGUUCAUCACACCACCACCGGAACCGGUCGGACAGACGAGUUCGGGAACCCGGUUCAGCACGGCGUGGCGGAUACCGGGUACGGAACUGGUGCAGGGUACGGCACUCAUACAAAACCUGGUGUUGUUGAGCACCACGGCGUCCCUGCUGUGCUUCAUUCCAAGGAUGACCAGUACUCUCGUGAUACCCAGACAACCACUGGAGGUUACGGUGGGGACGGGUACACAGGAGGAGAGCACCAGGAGAAGAAGGGUUUACUAGGCCAACUCCAGGACAAGCUGCCAGGUGGGAACAAGGAUGGCCAGUACUCUCAUGACACCCAGACAACCACUGGAGCUUACGGUGGGGCCGGCUACACAGGAGGAGAGCACCACGAGAAGAAGGGUAUAAUAGGCCAAGUUAAGGACAAGCUGCCAGGUGGGCAAAAGGAUGACCAGUACUGUCGUGACACCCACCCAACCACUGGAGCUUACGGUGGCGCCGGCUACACAGGAGGAGAGGACCACGAGAAGAAGGGUAUAAUAGGCCAAGUCAAAGACAAGCUGCCAGGUGGGCAAAAGGAUGACCAGUACUGUCGUGACACCCACCCAACCACUGGAGCUUACGGUGGGGCCGGCUACACAGGAGGAGAGCACCAGGAGAAGAAGGGUAUAAUAGGCCAAGUUAAGGACAAGCUGCCAGGUGGGCAAAAGGAUGAUCAGUACUCUCAUGACACCCACAAAACUACUGGAGCUUACGGUGGGGCCGGAUACACAGGAGAUGAUACCCGGGAGAAGAAGGGUAUAAUAGGCCAAGUGAAGGACAAGCUGCCAGGUGGGCAAAAGGAUGACCAUUACUCUCAUGACACCCACCCAACAACUGGAGCUUACGGUGGGGCCGGGUACACAGGAGAUGAUACCCGGGAGAAGAAGGGUAUAAUAGACCAAGUAAAGGACAAGCUGCCGGGUGGGCAAAAGGAUGACCAUUACUCUCAUGAGACCCACCCAACCACUGGAGCUUACGGUGGGGCAGGGUACACAGGAGAUGAUACACGGGAGAAGAAGGGUGUAGUGGAGAAAGUGAAGGAGAAGCUGCCAGGUGGGCAAAAUGUGCACCCAACCACUGGACCUUACGGUGGGGGUGGGGCCGCGGGCAUAGGAGAGACCCGGGAGAGGAAGGGUGUAGGGGAGAAAGUGAAGGAGAAGCUGCCAGGUGGACAUAAGGAUGACCAGUACCUUCAUGACACCCACCCAACCAAGCCAACCAGUGCAGCUCACGGUGGGGUCGGGCACACAGGAGGAGAGCCCCAGCUCCAUGAGAAGAAGGGGUUGAUUGAGAAAAUCAAAGACAAGCUUCCUGGUCACAACAACUAGAUGGAAUGGAUCAUCAUUUGGACUUCCUAUCAGAUAAUUAUCUGCUGUGCUGCUGUGUAUAAUAAAUCGGUGCUUGUUGUUGGUCUGUGACCACCGAGCAUUGUACAAUGUCGUAUUUUGUAAUAUUUGGAUGUCGUUUGUGUUAUAGUAUAAAUGUGCUCUUCUGAGUACAGUGUUUUGCUUUUGUAACUAUUUAUUGUCUGCUGCUUUCAAGUAUAAAUCUCAAUAAUGCACAUAUAUUAUUAUUAUUAUUUUGUGAUGAAAUAGGUUUGUCUAAAUGAAAUCUUAACCAAGGGUUGAAAAUCAAAUUUUUUGGAAAAAAGAACCCAAAGGCUCCUACUUUCUGCACCGGCCCCUUGAAAAAGUGAAGAGUUUGAAAUGUCAAGAGAUCUUGUGAACCUUUUGCUUUAAGCUGUUGAGCAGCAGUAUCACAAGCUACAACUUCAUAGCUAUCCUUUAACGUUUGACGGACUGCCUUGCCCUCCUCUAUCUGAGUGAAGAAGUUGGCUUUCUUUGCCUUUUCUUCUUGUUGCCGCUUUUCUCAGAGUUUUGUUUUUUCUUACUGUUUGUUUGGUCUUCUUCUUGUAUUUGCCGUUGACUGGUUGCUCGGUCUCGGUUUGUUCUCCUGACCCUUUGGUAUUUGUUUAUGAAAGUACAACUUUACCCCCCAAAAAAGAAAAGUAAUUCGCUUUUAGCUCGUCUAAAUCCCUGAGCACAUACGAACAAGGCCCCUAAUUUGUAUAAACCUAUAUAUAUAUAUUAUUUAAAAAUAAAAUGCAAUAUAUAUUAAUUUUUAUGUAUUUUAUAAAGUUGUUAAUUCCUUUUUAAAUUACAACAGUUCAUAUAAAUGUUUUUAACUUACCGGGAAAAAAAAAAUUCACAUAAGAAUACAUAAAAAGUGGGCAUAAAUCACUCUCUGAAACAUUAUCCCACUCCUCCGAACGACCUUUACAGCGCCACUUGUCAAAAUGUGACAAUGCAACAAGUUCCAAUAAUUUUCAACUGAUACAGAGGUAGCUAUCGUCAAACAGGCUCUUGUGCAUACGCGGUCAAAGUGUCACGAGCUUUUAACACCAAGACAAAGAAUACUAUUAUUAACACAUGAUAUACACAUCUUAUCUUAUCUAUGAUGCAGAAACAAGAUCCAAUUGUCCUCUCACGGCGCCGGCAGGUGUCCCAGUGGCUAACGUGGCUGCAGUGCAUGGAGUCACUAUUCGCGUACGUGUAAGAAUAUGCAUGCCUUGCCAAUCCAAUUGCCCAUAUAUAACCCCCAAACCCCGUUUCUCAUUUCAAAUACAUCAAAUCCCAAACAGAUCUUAAUUUAAAAUUACUCAAAAGUUCAGCAGCUGUUUGUGUUUGCAGUUUGAAAAUGGCGAGCUAUGAGAAGCAGUACGGGGCAACACCGACCGACGAGUACGGGAACCCGAUCCGCCGCACCGACGAGUACGGGAACCCACUUGGUCAUCACACUACUACGACCGGAACCACCGCGGCCACCACUGGCGCAGGAGGGUACGACCCUCAUGACUUCGCCGCCACCACGGUAGCUGGCCAAGGCCAAGGGGUGCAUGGUCACGACUAUGACAGGAAAGGGCACCACGGCGUCACUGGCGCCGUGCUUCACCGCUCUGGUAGCUCAAGCUCUAGCUCUGUAAGUCCUCUUUUUUUUUCUUUUUCUUUUUUUUUAAAUUUUCCUCUAAUAUAUCAAAUUAUGGGAAUUUAAUUUCAUGAAUAAUAUGCUCGAUUGCGCAAUAUAUUUUGUGCUACAUCUCUAACAGUUGUUAUAGAUGUGGUCACAACUUUUGUGUCACAUCAAUAUUUAACAGUUUUAACAGUUUGUGUCAAGUCUCACGGAUCACACUGUUUUGUAUCACAUCCAUCUUGAACAGAAGUGAGACUCGUCUUGUGUCGCACUAUUUCAUCACAAAAAUAAUUUUAUGGUGAUUUUAUUAUAUAUGAUAUGAUAAAGUUGGUAAUUGAUUGUGAUUUGUAGUCUGAGGAUGACGGGCUAGGAGGGAGGAGGAAGAAGAAGGGGUUGAAGGAGAAGGUAAAGGAGAAGCUGCCAGGUGGAACCAAAACCGAUACAACAUACGGUGGAACUGGGACCACCGGGCAGCACCACCAGGAGAAGGGGACGAUGGACAAGAUCAAGGAGAAGCUGCCUGGGACUGGGGGGCAUAGGGCAGAUGACCCCUACCCAUCUCAGACUCAUACAACUGCCACCACCACACCUUAUGGUGGAACCGCCUACACCGAAGAGCACCAAGAGAAGAAGGGGAUCAUGGACAAGAUCAAGGAGAAACUUCCCGGACAACACUAGAUAUCAUUUAUAAGUGCUCAUAUAAAUAUGUAUACAGAGUGGUUAAUUAGUAAUUUUAUGCCCUGUAUAAUAAGCUGGCGGUGAGCUCAGUUCUUUUAUGCUCAAUACGCAAUGGCGUUUGUGUUUCGUAAUGUACUUUGUAUGUCGUUUGUUUCAAUAAAUAGACUUGCUUUUCUGUGAGCAACAUAAUUGACCCCCAAAAAAAAAAGGUCGAAACAUAUAUUGCAAACUGGAAAACAAAUAAGACUUGUUAGCAACCAAGAAAAUUAAGGUCAAAAGUUAACAAAUAAAAUCUAGUUUCAUUAGCACAAAAAUAGAUAAAAUAAUCAAUCAAGCUAAAUGAAACUCAAUUCUACUUCUACAUCUCUCAAAACUUAUGCUAGCCGUUACAUACAAUUUGUCAACGGCGUUCCGUAAAUGAUAUCAUAGGCUCUAGAAAGACUGCAUAAUGAAACCCAAGGCAAUUAGAUAGAUUUGUGUUUUCGAGCAACAUUACCAAAAGCUACAACUUCAGAGCCAGCCUUCUACAACAACCUUCAUCCUCCUGCAGGUUCAAUCACCAAAAGUUACCGCAAGAGCAUUUCCCAUUACUGAAGUGAUGGAAUCUCAUGUUAUCUCUCACAACAAUCUCCCUCCCGGCGACCUGCGAUGCACCACACAUGAACACAUGACAAUCUUCACAGAUCCUAAUGUUCUUCAUAAUCUUUAUGGUGCUUCCAGAAUCUGUACUGACCAAUGCAUAUGCCAGAGCUAGCUUUUCACUAUGCGACAUUAAUAUGCGCUUCCUCUCUUCAAUCCCCAAAUCGUAAGCCGCAGAAUUCAGGUUUGGCUGGUACCCAUGAGCCUGUAAUCUGUUCAGAAGAUCAUCCAAUGCCUUCUUAAUCUCGGCGUACUCUGGAUGGUUCGUUUCACCUGCACAGAAUUCAUGAAUUACCCCUUUCUUCGUUUCGACCCAGCUAUACGCAGGAUUCUUUUUCAGACCCUUUUCCUUCAUCAUCUUCCUCACUCUUGAAACAUCAGCCCACCUUCCUGCCGAUGCAUAUAUGUUAGAGAGCAUUACAUGGUUUCCGAUACUAUCGGGUUCAAGCUCAAAAAGAUGGUUUGCAGCAAUCUGAGCUAUGUCAGGGUUCCCAUGAAUAUGACAUGCUCCGAGUAGUGCUCCCCACACACCUCCGUGGGCAGCUAUCGGCAUUGUUUCAACAAGCUCAAGAGCUUCUUCCAAGCGCCCAGCUCGACCAAGAAGGUCUACCAUGCAAGUAUAAUGAUCAGCUGAUGGAACAACAUUAUAGUACUUCUCCAUGGUUGCAAAUAACUGCCGACCUUGAUCAACCAUGCCUGCAUGGCUGCACGCCGUUAGCACCCCUAUAAAAGUAACCCGGUUAGGUCUUAUCUCUGUUGUCAACAUCUCAUGAAACAAUUCUAUCGCUGCAUUGGCACGGCCGUGCAUUGCAAACCCCAAAAUCAUUGAGCUGUAAGAAAAUACGUUUCUUUCCUUCAUUCCUUGAAAAACCUUGUAGGCUUCAUCCAAGCUCCCACAUUUUGAGUACAUAUCUAUCAAUGCCGAUCCCACAAGAACAUUUUCAGUAGGCCCAAAACCAGAUUUCUCGGCAAUGUCUCGAACCCAAUUAGCAUACUUAGAUGCACCCAAUUGUGCACAAGCUGAAAUGAGACCAACCAACGUAAUCUCAUCGGUGCCCACACCAGCACCUUGCAUUCUCUCAAAGCAAUCCAACGCAUCUCUUGGCCGGGCAUUCUGGGCAUAACCAGUAACCAUUGCCGUCCACGCCACCAUAUCUUUCACAGGCAACCCCUCAAACAAUUCCCUUGCUGAUCCCAUAUCCCCAAUCUUAGUAUAAGCAACAAUUAACUCGGUCCAAGAAACGACAUCCCUGUCAGGCAUUUCAUCAAACACCUUGCGCCCACAAUCCAAAAAACCACACUUUACAUACAUAUCAAUCAUGGUGUUGCCCACGUACAAAUCCGCCGCAAACCCGCCAACCAAAAUCGUCUGGGCAUGUAUCUGCCUACCCAAGUUCACGUCAAGCACAUCCCCACAAGCCUUAAAGAGCGCAGAGAACGUAAACGACACGGGCCCAGUCCCUGCGCUUCGCAUACAAGUAUAAAAAUUCAGCGCCUCCGAAAUGGGUCCCUGAACUGUGUACCCGCGAAUCAUAGCCGUCCAGAGAAAUGGGUUCGGGUACUUGACCUGUACGAAGACGAGGCGCGGAUACGCGUCCACUGGGACGCCGAGCUUCGUGAGCGUGCGGACGAGCUUGGUGAGGACGUAGCAGCACUGGCUGAGGCCAUGGCGGAGGAGGUGAGCAUGAACCUCCUUGACUUGGCUGAGAUUGUCGCAGCCAUCUAGAUCAGAGAUGAGUUUGUGCUCCAAGAGCUUCCGCUUCUGCUGAAACUCGGAGAAAGGGAUGAAGAAUCUGGUUGGUUGUGGCUGGUGCUGGUGAAGCUGCUGAGGUAAAAGCUUGUGAAUUGGGACUGUGGAGAAUCGGCGAGAGAGAUUUUGCAUUGGACAAUCCAAGUCCCUCCGGCUGCGCGCGGCUCUGAGAAUGCAUUUGAUAAAAGAGGAGGAGAAACUCCCGCUAUACAAAUUAAACGGUGCGUAUCGGAAUAACUCGAGGGAAAAGCAAAACGGUGCGUUUUGUUCCUCUCUAAUUUCUACACUCUGCUCUCUUCGUCGCACAGUGACAAGCAUAACAGAACUCCUGAGCCCAAACUCCAAAUUCCUCUGCCCUCCUCUAGACGACGUCGCAUCAAGUCUCCUCCUUUCUUUUCUUGGAAAACUAGGUAGCUUCUCUGUCCUCUCUGGGUCUUUUCCAAUAUGAUUAUUACUGUUUUGCUGUAUUAUUUUAGAGGUAAAGUAUUGGAGGCAGGAGGUUAAUAUCAAAUUUAUGGGUUUCUCUUGUUUAUGAAAUUUGAUGCUAGUUUCUUAUGGAUGUUGCAUGAUUGCUUCAUAGAAAAUGGCUUCUAAUGGUUUAGAAAAGUUUGGGGCAGAAUCUGAUUAAAUGAUUGUUCUUGAAGACAAUAUUUAUGAUUUAGUUAUCUUACAUUGCUUUUGUGAUUUAAAUUUUUUAAUUUAAAAGCUCUUUUAGGGAGACUUACUAUUUUGAUUUGAUUGAAAACUGGUAUCCAGGAUCAUUGUCGACCUUCUGGUUUUAAUAUUUUUACUUGUAAUCCCUACCAAACAUAUGGCUUACAUUUUACAUUUCGCUAUUCUGUUAUGGACAAGCACUAAAUACUUUGUUCUGUAUGAUUAGGCUGGUUGAUUUAGCAAAUGGAUAGUGAUUUUCAAAGCAAAUCAUUAGAAAAAAGUGACAAGGAAGCAUUAUUUGGAGAAAGUGAUGAACUAAGAGUAGGGAUGGAAGUUAGUGAUGAAUCUGAAGCUUACCAGCUCUGCAACACAUAUGCCUUUAACAAAGGUUUUAGUAUUCGCAAGGGGCAUCUUCGAAGAGAUUCGCAAAAUAAUGUCCGGCAACGAGAAUUUUUGUGCUCAAAGGAAGGAUUUCAAGUAGAUGAAGACUUAUGUGAAGCGAAGAAAGUGAGAAGGUUAGAUACAAGAACAGGUUGCAAGGCUGUAAUUCGAUUCACCGUGGAAAAUGGUAUGUGGAAGCUCUCCUACAUCAAUCCAGUUCAUAAUCACGAGUUUGCUAAGCCUGAAGAGCGACAAUUUCUAAGAUCAGGUCGAAAUAUACCAAGUGUUCGUGCAAAUAUCCUUGGCUCUAAGAGUGAUGGGAGUAUAAGAACAGCAAAAUCACAUUCAUACUUGGGAAAAGAGUUUGGCUGUGAUGAGAAUGAUAGAUCUACUAAUAAAGAUUUACCUAAUUGUUUGCAAAGGAGUAAGGAUGAAAUGAUAGAACAGAAUGGACAAAGCUUGAUAAAUUAUUUUAAGCAUAAACAGAUGGAGGAUCCAAAUUUUUUCUACAGUGUUCAAGUGGACCAAUUUAGUCGAAUCACAAAUUAUUUCUGGAGAGAUGGUAGAUCAAAGUUGGAUUAUGAUUGCUUUGGAGACGUUGUAUGUUUUGAAACUACAUUUCGAACCAACAGCAAUCUAGUUUGUAGUCCAUUUUUGGGAGUCAAUCACCAUUGGAAGAAUAUCUCAUUUGGUUGUGCUUUUUUAUUGGACGAGAGUGCUGAUUCAUUUGUUUGGUUGUUUGAAACAUUUUUGGAGUCGAUGGGAAAUAAACAGCCAAAAACCAUUUUCACGGAUGAGGAUAAAGCAAUGGAAAAGGCAAAGGCAAUUGAGACUGUGUUCCCAGAGACACGGCAUCGGUUAUGCAAUUGGCAGAUCUCCAAGAAUGCUACACAACAUCUUGCUAGUCUUUGUGCUGAUCCUGAAUUCAAGAAGCACUUCAACAAAUGCUUUCUUGAUUGUUUUACUGAAGUAGAAUUUCAAAAUUCCUGGGAUGACAUGAUUAAAAUGUUCAACCUUGAAAGCAAUUCGUGGCUGAAGAUGUUGUAUUCACUUCGAGAGAAAUGGUGUCCUGCAUUUAGCCUAGAUACUUUCUCAGCAAAUAUUGGAUCAAGCCAGAGGGGUGAGAACACAAACACUAUUUUCCAUCAAGUGUCUAGAAAAACAGUGGAUCUCGUUAGUUUUGUACAGCAUUAUGAGCUAAAAACAAAAAAGAUGCGAUUCACAGAGUUGGAAGAGGAUUUUCGUUUUAAAAAUGCUAUGCCUCAUCUUAGAGUAAAUAGUGGUAUCUUUAAGCAUGCAGCUACUGAGUACACUGUCAAAAUGUAUUCGUUCUUUGAAAAUGAGCUUAUGAGUAUUUUUGGGGUGAGGAUGGUAGAAGUUAGUAAUGAUGGCAAUCAAUAUAUUUAUGAAGCAAUUGAAGAAGGUCUUCAAAGAGUCUACAUGAUUCAAUACAACUGUACUACGUCCAUGAUUUCUUGUUCAUGUAAGUUAUUUGAAUCCAUGGGGUUGUUGUGCCGUCAUGCCCUAAAAGUACUGGAUUUUAAAAACUAUACAAGCAUACCGACACAAUACAUAGUGAAGAGAUGGACUAAAGGGGCAAAGAAAGGGAUUGUGGUGAGUAAUGAGUUCUGUAAGUCAUCAUAUAGAAAGGCCAAGUCUGCCCAAUCGCUGCGCCUAAGUGAGUUGAUGCAUGAAGGAAAUAAUGUUUUCAGUAUAGGCUCAUUGUGUGAUUCAGGAACGAGGAUUGUCAGACAAAAGUUAGCGGAGACCAUGAAGUUACUGGAAAGUGACGAGGAAACUACCAACAUGCUGGGAAGUUUGAGCAAAGUAGACGACCAAUCUGUUCGUGAUGUGCUUCUUGAUAAUGGAAGUGUGGAAUCCCCCAGUUGUGAUGGCUAAAGGACAAAUGCUAUAUUGAAAAAUAUAUGUUCAGGGUAUUGCUUACUUUUUGUUCUGAAAAUUGCACUUCAUUGCGUAAGAUGUUCAGAAAUGAAAGGUUAGAGUAUCUUUUUCUUCUUUGGCAGAAGCCAGCAUUGUACAUCCUUUUCUUUUUCAAGUAAAUCAGUGUUGAUAUUUCUGAUAAUAUAGUGGAGGAUAGUUGAUGAAGUAUAUGGAGUUCUGUAUUGAUAUUGAUGUAAGUAUAUUUUUCGUAAUUUCAUCUCUUGAAUAUUCACUAGACAAUAGACUAUACAAAACAGGUGAACUGUCUCAGUAUCAUCUCUGGGGUCAUCUUCAAUAUCAUCGACGAGCAUGAUCCUCCUCUCAGUAUUGCUGAAACCUGGGGUCGCAUUAGGUAAUUGGAUUCCCAUUUAAAAGUGCUGUUUUACUAUUUCAAACUGAAUUCAUUUUUUCGAUCUGUAACUUUGUACAUGUUUGAUGUAAUUACCGUGUAUGGAUUGGCUGAAUAAAUGUCUAGGUCAUUUUCAUGAAGUUGGUUUGAGAGGAUUAAGGAGCAGUAGGCGCAUGAAGAUAGUGUGGAGGUGGAUGAGGAGGCAGAAGCUUAGACUAAUAUUCAACAAGGUAGGGUCUCAGAAGCAGUUUCUGGUUCUGGGUAUGACUUUGGUUUACAGAGCCCAACUUCAAGCAGCAGGCUAAACCAGUAAAUGAUUAUCCACAACACAAGUCCCCUUGAAGUCUAUGAAUUACUAGCUAAGAAGCUUUGCUCUGCCUUAUCAAACUUUGAGUUGUUUUGCUGUAACCCCUAUAAUGUAAAAAACCAGGGCUUAAGUGAUCAGUUCUAAUUCUCUCCCUUUCCAGUUUGUCAAUGAUACUCAUCUAGCUAAUGCUAUGCAAACUGCUAAAAAGUAAACCACACCUGGACUAAAAAGUAAAAUGCUACUUGCUGAUUUUAACUUUUCCAACUUAUAUUGCAAAUUAUAAAAUACACCACAUAAUUAUAUUAAAAGAAGAAUAAUGUGCAAAAUUCAAUGUGAGCAUGCCGUAUAAAUUGUAAAGGAAAUGUUGAAGUUAUAUAGCAUUAUCCUACAAAAGUUUACCUUUUUCCAGUAAGGCUGGGGUAAUUGUAGCAAAAUAAAUUCACGAACACCACCAGCCCCCCAACCAAUAAAAACUGCUUCUUUUUUUUUUUUUUUUAAUUUUUUUAAGUAAGAGGGGGAAAUCGAACUUAAGACAUCGAAUCGGGUGCAUAGGUAAAUCUUCUUAAUCGUGGCAUCCUUAACCACUUGGGGCCGUAAAAUUAUUAGUAAAAAUUACUCAUGAGUUUGUGGGAACCCGCCACAAAAGAGAACGAACAACUAAAACAUAAGCCGAAACGCAGCGUUUCGUUCGUCUCUAAUCUCUUUCGACUCUACUGUCUUCGAACAGUGAGCCAGAUACAGCAUCCCAGCACCUCAGCUCUCUCUCAGUCCUCAGUCAGUCCAAACUCCAAAGUCGUCUUCUCUAUUCUCUUCUUCUCCGAUAACCCAAAUUCCCCCCGUUGCAGCUUGCAGGCCUCCUUCGAACGGCGACGUAUCGAGUCUCUUUCUCUUCUCUUGUUUCUCGGCGAACCAGGUAUCUCCUCUGUCCUCUCUUGGUCCUGGCUCAAAUGAUCAUUGAUACAUUCCUGUUUCCUUUUUAUUUUUCAAAAUUAUGGGAAUUGGAGUUCUGGUGGAAUGAGAUGUGCGAAUUUAUGGUAUUUCGUUUAUGAAGCUCGAUGCUUAAAUUUUUAUUUUUAUUUUUAUGGAUAUAGGAUGAUAAAUUCGUAGAAAGAGACUUCUAAUAGCUUAGAAAAUUUGGGAUAACUUACAUUGCCCUCGUGAUUGAUCUUGGUUCUGUUUUCAUUUUUUAUUUUUUUGGAAUUUUUUUAGCUGAAGUUGUGAACUUUAAUCGCUUUAUUUGGUUAAAAAAACAAUAUGGACGGAAUAAAAUCACCAGGGUUGUAUUUGGAUUUGUGGAUUCAAAAUGGGGCAUAUAAAUUAGGGUUUUUGGUUUAGAUAAUUGAUAGGUUGAGCCUAAUAUGCUGUCACGUAAAAUUUUUGUUUGCAAAUAGAUAGAGAAACUUUUACUUGCAACGUAUCUGUUACAUUUUGGAUUUUACUAUCUGUCAAUACAAGUACUGAAAAAUGUGUUGUUUAUGAUUAGGCAGUUGGUUUAGAUAAUGGAUUACACUUGUCAAGGGAAAAUAUUAGAGAUAAGUGACAAGGAAGAAAUAUUUGACGCAAUUGAUGAACUAAAAGUGGGAAUGGAGGUGUCUAAUGAAGCUGAAGCUUACAAUCUAUGCAACACCUAUGCCUUUAGGAAAGGUUUUAGUAUUCGUAAAGGGAAUAUUCGAAGAGAUGCGCAAAAUAAGGUCAGGCAAAGGGACUAUUUUUGUUCAAAAGAAGGGUUUCAAUCAGAUGAAGAUUUGUGUGAAGUGAAAAAGGUGAGAAGAUUAGACACAAGAACAGGUUGUAAGGCUCUAAUUCGAUUCACCGCGGAUAAUGGUAUAUGGAAGAUCAGUCACAUCAAUCUAGAUCAUAAUCAUGAGUUUGCUAAGCCUGAAGAAAGACAAUUUCUACGAUCAGGUCGACAUAUACCACGUGUCCGUGCAGGUAUGCUUGGCCCUAAGGUUGAUGAGAGUACAAGACCAACAAAAUCAUACUCUUACUUGGGAAAAAAGUUUGGCAAUGCUGAGAAUGUUGGGUCCACUAAUAAAGAUUGUCUUAAUUAUUUGCAAAGGAAUAAGGAAGAAAUGCUAGAAGGAGGGGAUGGGCAAAGUUUGAUAAAUUAUUUUAAGCAUAAACAAAUGGAGGAUCCAAGUUUUUUCUACAGUGUUCAAGUGGAUCAAUUUAAUCGGAUCACAAAUUAUUUUUGGAGAGAUGGUAGAUCAAAGUUAGAUUAUGAUUGCUUUGGAGAUGUUGUAUGCUUUGACACCACAUUUCGAACCAAGAAAUACAAUCUAAUUUGUGCUCCAUUUGUGGGUGUUAAUCAUCACUGCAAGAAUGUCUUAUUUGGUUGUGCUUUUGUAUCGGAUGAGAGCACUGACUCAUUUAUUUGGUUGUUUGAAACAUUUUUGGAGUCCAUGGGAUAUAAGCAACCGAAAACCAUUUUCACAGAUGUGGGUAAUGCAAUGGCAAAUGCAAUUGUGGUUAUGCUUCGAGAGACACGCCAUCGCCUAUGCAUAUGGCACAUAUCUAAGAAUGCUACACAAUAUAUUGGAUCUCAUUAUUCUAAUCACGAGUUCAAGGAGCACUUUAACAAAUGCUUUCACGAUUGUCUCACUGAAGCGGAAUUUGAAGCUACAUGGAAUGACUUGAUUAGAAAGUUCAACCUUGAGAGCAAUUCGUGGCUGCAAGAGUUAUAUUCACUUAGAGAAAAAUGGUGUCCUGCUUUUAGCUUAGACACUUUUACAGCCAAUAUUAGAUCCUCCAAUAGAGGUGAGAGCAUAACCAGUACAUUCCAUCAAAUUUCUACAAAAACAAUGGAUCUCAUUGGUCUUGUACAGCAUUACGAGAAAAAAACAAAAGUGGUGCGGUCAGCAGAGUUGGAAGAGGAUUUUCGUUGUAAAAAUGGUAUGCCUCAUCUUAGAGCAAAUAGUGGUAUCUUUAAGCAUGCAGCUUCUGAGUACACAAUUAAAAUGUAUUCAUUCUUUGAAAAUGAGCUUAUGAGUAUCUUUGGGGUGAGGAUGAUAGAAGUUGGUAAUGAUGGCAACCAAUAUAUUUAUGAAGCAAUUGAAGAAGGUCAUCCAAGAGUCUACAUUAUUGAAUAUAACUCCGCUACUUCCAUGGUUUCUUGUUCUUGUAAGUUAUUUGAAUCCAUAGGAUUGUUGUGCCGUCAUGCCCUAAAAGUAUUGGAUUUAAAAAACUUCACAAGCAUUCCGACCAGGUACAUAGAGAAGAGAUGGACUAAAGGGGCAAAGAAAAGGAUUGUGGAGAGUAGUCAUUUAUAUGAGUCGUCAUAUAAAAUGGGGAAGUCUGCUCAAUCAUUGCGCCUAAGUGAGUUGAUGCAUGAAGGAAAUAAUGUUUUCAGUAUAGGCUCAUUGUGUGAUUCAGGAACGAGAAUUGUUAAACAGAAGUUGGUGGAGGCCAUGAAGUUGCUUGAAAGUGAUGAGGAAACUACAUCUUUGCAGGGAAAUUUGAACAAAGUAGAUGAUCAAUUUGUUCGUGAUGUGCUUGAUAACUGAAGGUAUUGACUCUCCUACUUGCGAGGGCCAAACAAAUUGUACUUUGUUGUGUAAGGUUUCGGAACAUGGUUUUGUUUCUUCCUUUUUUCUUUUUUGGGUCUCUUUAGGUUGAAGCUGUCAUUGUACAUAUUUUCGUUUCAGGUCACAGCUCCCUUAUGUUAGAAAUAUUCUGUUGUAGUGCUCCUUAUAUGUAUGUGCUUUGUAUUGGAGUUUAUUAACUUUGGUCAGUUUGGGAUGAAUUUAAGUAGCAUAUCCUUUUGGUCUAUGAUAUUUUGUGGUUCUUUCUUCUUAUACUUUAGUUCGUGUGCUUCUUGUGAUCUUGUUUUUAUUUGGAAAGAGUUGCUUUCUUGGCAUAUUUUGUGCUACUCAUUAUAAAGAGGAAAGAUGAGUUGUGUAUUCAUUUUGUCAUCUGGGUGCUAAAGAUUGCUUGGGACAAUACAAAACAGGUGCAUUGUCCCUAUAUAAUCGUAAUAAACUUUUGAAUAAUGAUUUAUGGAGGAGAUUAGUUCUCCACGACCAAAGAAAUUAAAUAAGAUUAAACAAAAUUUAAAAAUACCAGGUAUCGCCGCGCGGCUAUACUAUUGAAAAGGACCCAGCGAUUAGCGCCACGUGUCAAAACAAGUCCGGCCGGGCGGCUAUCUUAUUUUUUGAAAAAAAUCACCAAGUAUAGCCGGGCGGCUGUACUAUUUUUUUUUUCAAAAGAGGGCCCCAAAAGCGAUUAGGCGCCACGUGUAAAAAUACGUACAGCCGCACAGCUCCCAGGCGCCCAGGUGGAAAAAGAGUAUAGCCGGGCGGCUAUACUCUUUUAAAACAAUUUUUAAAACCGGGUAUAGCCGCUCGGCUGUACUAUUUUUAAAAAAGAAACAAGUCUAGCCGCGCGGCUAUACGAUUUUUUUUUUAAAAAAAGAGCACUCCCUUGCCUUUAGGCGCCACGUGUCAAAAAAUAAAUAAAACAGAUCUGCUAGACGAUUUUUAAAAAAAAUAUAUACGUAGUAUAGCCGCGCGGCUAUACUUCUUAAAUAUAAUUUAUUUAAUAGUAUAGCCGAGCGGCGAUACUAUUUAAUGAAACAUUUGAAUAAUGAUUUAUGGAGGAGAUUAGUUCUCCAUGACCAAAGAAAUGGUUCAAAUCCUAAUUAAAUGAAUUCGUUAUCUGAACAACCCGGACAACUCAAACCCAUUGAAUUGCUAAUCAAGCCCUCGGAGUUAGCUCAAGUGGUGAAGAUCGAUGCGGAAAUGGUUUAGGGUUAGACAAGGUCAAGGUUGGAUUCUUCCGUUCUAACCCGAAAAUGAUUUUUGGUUAUUAAAAAGAAGUAUAUAAGUUUAAGGCUUUUUAAACCCACCCAAAUGUUAGCGCUCUUGAUAAACAUUUUGCUUUGUUAGGUAGUAGGGGUGUAUCUUUAUAGCAAACUGAGAUUUGGGUUUUGGAAAACAGAAAGUGGCAACAUGUUUGGGACAGCGAUAAGGUGUAUUGCGAGGAAACCAAAACCACAGAUGAAACCCAUAGAGCUCAAAACCCCACCUGAGCAGACGCAGACCAUCACUAGGGCCAUCUUCGAUAUCGUCAAGGAGCAUGGUCCUCUCACCAUUACUGAAACCUGGGAUCACGUUAAGGUGAUUUGAGUGCUGCUAUUGUAACUAUGUACUUCAUUUUAGGUGUAGUUAGUUAUUGCGUACCAAUUGUUUGAUUAAAUGUCUGAGUCGUUUUCAGGAAGUUGGGUUGAGAGGAUUGACGAGCAAGAGGCACAUGAAGAUAGUGUUGAGGUGGAUGAGGGAGAGGCAGAAGCUUAGACUAAUUUGCAACCAUGUAGGGCCUCAGAAGCAGUUUCUGUAUACGACUUGGUUUACAAAGCCCAAUCUCAAGCAGCAGGGAAAACCAGUAAAUGAUUCUCCACAACCCAAGUCUCCUUGAAGUCUCUGGAUUAUUAGUUUAAGAGUAUUGCUCUACCGUUAUCAAACUUUGAGUUGUUUUGCUACAACCAUCGAUGUAAAACUAGAAGCUAAAGGGCUAAGUUGUAAUGGUCUCUCUUUCCAACUUGUCAGUGAUUCUUAUUUAGUUAAUGGUUUGGAGACUGCUGAGACUGCUUGAGCUCGAUAAGUCCCCCAUUUUCAUAGUUCAAGGUGAAUGGACGAUGCCGAAUUUCAACAAAUAAAAACUAACUUUUGUUCUGGAUGUUCUUUUUUAAAAAAUUUACCAAAUAAAACGGGCAAAGACCUGAAAGGGCAGUCGCAUGCACGAGUGGGCAAUCUCCUCCAGCCGUUGAUGCAAUUUGGGACUCACAUGCAUCAACGGCUGAAAGUCGUCCACUCACAACUAACUGGCAAAUCACCAUCCCCGACCAUAAAAAUAUGCUAAUGGUAUAAAUGCCAUAAUGCAUCAAGGAAAUCCAUAAAAAAGAGAGUUUGCGCGUAUUCAGUAAGUUACAGGCUUACAGCACACAUAUCUCCUUACAAGAUUACGAAUGAUGCUGGGUUUUUUACUUAUCCACCAAGCAUUUCACUGAAAUGCCAAUUUUUCAAAUCCAUGCUCUAGCAAAAUCGAUCAUGUCAUUGUCAACCUUUUGAACAAGCUACUAGCUAGAUGUCUUAAUUUGUACACAAUGUACAUAAGAAAGCGAAACCUGAGGGGUGAUUAUGUCACCAUAAAAGAAAAAUCGACCCACUAAUCUAAGUGUAGUUCAUCUUCUUUUGCUAAGCAACGAAAUCUCUAAAACAGGAGAAGCGAGCAUGUGUAGCAUUCUACUUGACAGUUCAAGGCCUCAAAGUGUUAGGAAUCUGAGUGGCUCUUUGACUUGUGCAACACUUCCUUCAGAACGGCAGCAAUUCUAUUUGCCAUAUGGUGUUCUAGAAACCUUUCUUUGACCCUUUUGUAGCCUCUCUUCCCCAUUGUAAGCCUCCUCUCAACAUGAGUGGCAAGUUUUACAAUAUUUUUCGCAAGAGGAGUGAUCCCUUCCUUCCCAACAGGAUGCAACAAACCUGUUGUUCCAUUCACUACAAUCUCUGUGGUGCCACCUGCUGCUGUUCCCUGAAAUAAAUAUUUGAUUUGGAAAUUAGAAAAAUGGCAAUGGGAAUGGGUCAAUAGGAUUAGCAGUAGCAGCAUGAGUUACAAGAUAUUACGCAAAAUAACAAGAGGAAGGUUCUUUACCAAUACAGGCAGCUGAAAUGCCAUGGCUUCAAUAGUUAUCCUACCAAAGCAUUCUCCCCGUGCCUAUGGAAGGGUUUAAAAAAAAAAAAGAAGAUGAAAAAGGAUAUAUUAAUUAGAUUUAUGUAGUUUCAACCACAUUAGGGUCAGACUUGCUGGGAAAGACGUUAAUAUCAAUGCCUAUGUAUGAUUACUAUUAUGCUAACUGGGAACUUAUUCACAUUAAAAACUAUGGUUUUGCAUCCUAUAUGUAUCAUAUGUUCUUCUAUCUGCAACUUUUUCUAUAAAUAAGAUAUUAAAAAAAAACAUUUAAUAAGAGAAAAAUCUUUCUAAUACCUGGGAAUUUUGAACAAGGACAUCAAUUGCAGCCAGAUAUGGAGCUACAGUCAGAGUUUUGUCUACAAAAUGAACAUGAUCUUGAAUUUUCUUCAUCGAUACAAAGUUACGUAGUUCAUGCUCAAACUUGGUGUGAGCAGUCAUGUCACUCCCUACAAUUACAGCAUGCAUUCUAGGCAGUUGCAGCUUCUUCUCUUGGAUCAAUCGCAAGCUUUCAUAGAAGGAACGCAAAAACAGAUCUUGGCCUUUUCCACGUGAAACACCUGUAGUCAUGAGGUGUACUUCAGUGUUCACAAGGUAUGCACAAACUAACCAUAAGACUAUUUUUUAUUUUUCAUUUCCUAAUGGCAAUUUAAAUGGAAAUUAGUAGACUUCCAUCAAAUAGCUUGAACUACUUACUGUUUAUGAUGGCAAAUAGUAGAUCUUCUCUUCGCACUCCAAGAGACUCCCGGACAUGCUCACGCAAAACCCUUUUUGCUACACUAUCUUCAGCAACUUCCAUCAGUUCCUUGCUGUUUCCAAGGUGAACAACAAAGGUCUCUGGCAUUUUGAUACUGCAGAGAGCAAAUGAGUGGAAAAAGUAAACCAAAAUUUGAUAUAAAAAAGAAAAAGAGUCAAUAUUUGAAGCCUACCCCAAACGUUCUCGAGUCCUAUUCUCCCAAUAUUCUGCUGUUACAUGCGAAUCUAUCAUAGAACCUGCAACAAGCGGGAGGUGCUUGACAUAAUCCAAUUUGAAGUAAUGGCCGCGCAUUUCAUGGAUCCACCACAACACUUUCGGGAGAACACGGGGAACAUUUUCCUUAAGAACAACAUCCAACCAUUUCCCAGAAACUGCAGUGUUCAAUACAACCAAAUCAGCUUUGAGAGCUGUAUAUACAGCUUCUUGGCCAUUUUCAGAGAGGACCUGCAGAUGUAUAAAAGCAUUAUUAGAAACGUGCUGAGAAGUUACAGAGAAAUCCAGACAAGGCCAUAAUUUAGAUAAAAUCAAAUUGGAAGAUUGGUUUACUUCGCUUAGUUUCCGUAACAAGUGGCCAGCGGUGUGAAUAAAACAAUGCUUCCGAGAUCAUGAAAUAUUGAGAUGAUAAAGAUAACUAUGUAACGCAUAGACAACUAGACUGCAAAAGAAGACAUUCACAAUAACUUUUGAAAAUAAAUUAAGAUUUUGUACCUGCACCCCUCGGUCCAACAUUUUAUGUUCCAAACUGUAUAUCACUACAUCUGCAUCUGAUGGUUUCAUGGUUGUAACCCAACAAACUUCAGUGCCAACACCUCUUAAUAAAAAUGCUAGCUCCAUCAACAACAAAGGUCCACCUGGAAGAAUGUUCAAUAUGUCAUACCACCAGUAGAGUUUGUAAGAUAUAUGUAAAGAAAAAUUUAAAAUGAAAAGAAAAACAAGACAGCUCUUUUCAUUUAAAAAAAGAAAAAAUAAUAAUUAGGAGAAAGGGGUUUAUGAAAAUAUGAUCCAAAAUAGAGAGAAACAAAGAGCAUAAAUUGAUUGGAUAAAAUAUAUCUUCAGCCAAAUAUUUGGUUAAGGAAGGCGAUAAGCUUUCAUGAGUUAUGCUAGCCUAGAAAAAACCAAUGUACAUACGAUUCCAUGUUAUUUCAGUAUGCCAACGAAUAAAGUAAUUAUAACAGAAGGAACAUAUGCACAUUACUGAAUGUUGGUCUGUUGACGCCUGUCAGAAUAUUCAUCCAAUAUGAACAUUACUGAAUGUUGGUCUGUGUACUACAAAAUUUUUGGAAAUAUUCCUCAUUUACGUGAUAUUACAUUAAAUGCAGUAAGUUAGUGUCGAAGACACAAAAACAAGUGUAUCCCAAUAAAUAGGCAAAUAUUCAAAAGACGACAGAAAUUUCAUGUCGAGCAGUUACACAUUGCUGAGAAAUUCCAGAAUUUUUUUAAAAUUUUUUUGGUUCUCACCCAGAUUAAAAAGCCAAAGCUAAGGGUGACUGGUGGAGAGAAGGCACAAGAACUUAUUGUUGAAUGGGUUUUAAAAAUCCAUCCCAUAUUUGGAAACCCAGUAGCUCAAAAAUUUAUUACAUAUGAGUGUCUUCGCCAUCUUAAGUAGCUAACUUUCUGUGUACGUAUAAUCUAAGUCAUCAAAAGCUCAACAUAACUAAUCACACCACUAAUAGCUGAAAUUGCAAUCAAUAACUUGAAGCACAAUGAAACAUCAACAAUGCAUUAAAUUAGCAAUAAAAUAAUGGAGACAGAGACAGCACCAGAAAGAGAGAGCUCGUGCGAGACUAACAGCACGAGCUUGGACUUCAUGAAGCUGAGGGGGCUAGGACUGGUCCCAAUGGGAGAGCCCAAAGGAACCCUCUUGUCGACUACAUCCAUGCGACGGUCGCAGGAAUCGAAGGCGGCUCUGAUGAAGAAGGCGAUCAAGGUGGAGACGGAGAGCAUGACGAGAAAGGCCAAGAGCCAGCGCUUCUGCGACGCGACCCACCCGACGGAGUGCUUGGCCAUCUCUAGGGUUUGGAGAGUAGGCGAGGUCCGUUACUGCUAGUCUCAGCGGCAUAAUUCUAGGGUUUGGAUUUUUGACUGCGACCGGUGGGUUUGGUACAUUUGGCUUUCUGUGAUUGAAGACACUUGUAAAUAAUAAAUGAAAAGGCUUUUCGAUUUCGAAGGCAGCUGUGUGGCUGGCUUUGGCGUUGAAAGCUUCAAAUGUUGGUGAUAUUAAUGGCGGAUUCUGAAGCUCGUUGCUCUGCUAUUUGUGUUGUUCAGAGAAACGGAGCACGGAGCUCAAGUUGGAGGAGAGAGAGUUGCUUUCUUCUCUGUCUUUGGCUCCUUUUUGGCAUUACCAAUACUUUUUGCUUUUUUCGGUUUUUGGUUUUUAAUUUUUUAAUUUUCUUUUUUGCUUUUUUGUUUAGGAAAUAGGAAUAAUGCAAAUGCCAUUUUGCAAAAUCUUUUUCUUUUUGGUUUUCUCUUUCCUUUUCCCCUUUUCUUCCCAUUUUUAAACACUUGUUUGCUGUCAUCAAAUUUCCCUUUCUCUUUUCUUCUUUUACUUUUGAAAACAAACUCUUUUUCUUUUGGGAGCAGUUAAUUGCCACUUUAAAAAGUCGUCAUGAACUUAUCCAAGUGCAAUUUUAUAUCUUUAUAACCAGAGGGUUUAAGAACUAUAUGAUUGUUUAGACGUAACAUAAAAUUAAAAUGCUAAAUUAAUUAAAAAAUAUUAUAACUUUUCUUUUGGGUAAAUACCAUGAGGUUCGGCUUGUUUCAAGCCACAACGUGCUUUCAACGAGUUUCAAAUCCCUGCAAUUGAGUCAUCAGGUAGCUCGAUAGCUGAAGUUGACAAUUUGCCAACUGCACCACAUCUUAUGGUUAAAAAAAUAUUAUAAUUUUGUCUCUUAAUAUAUACAAACUUCAAGCACACUCAAACCGAUCGUACACCCUUAUCCAACCCUCAUUUUAGUGACGGAUUGGAUUGUACCAAAAAUUUUCAACCCCGUAACCAGCGGAGAUGUACGAGCAUAAUCCAUUUCCUAUUUGCAUACAACAGAAUUAGAAUAAGGAAUUGGUUCAUAUACUUAUUAUUUAAUUUCCUAGCUUAGGCUACCACAUGUCGCGUAUUAAAUUAAAUUAUUUGUUGAUUAUCAAUCAUGUAAACCUCAUGUUUUCUUGGUCCAUUUUUUAAUUUUGACUUAUGUCCCCAAAAUACGUCAAUAUCAUCCUAAUAACAUUAAAUUAAUGUUAAUUUUAUAGUUUAUAUUCGAGACAUAAAUUAACUCAAAACCACAAGAUAUGGUGCGGUUGGUAAACUGCUAUAUUUAAUUGGCAAGCUAUUUGGUACCUCAAUAGCAGAGGUUCGAAGUCCAUUGGAAACAUUUUGUGGCAAGGAGCAAACCGAACUCCGAGCGGACAUUAAUUCCACCAUUCGGGGGUGUAGGGACAACUUAUAGUAUUUACCCAAAAAAAAUCAAUAUAAAUAAUGGUGACCCAUUAUUUAUUAUAUGAAAAUUGUCUCGCGGGACAAAAGACCCAGAAUCUCACAGCGGUCGCCGGUCGCAACCCAACAGUGGGCGAGAGUGGCCUUCUUUCUUCUUCACUAGGCGCCGGUACACUAACAGACAGUACAUGCCAAGCAAUGCGGAGCCUACGACGCCGUUUCCACUUUCAUUCUUCUUCUUCUUCUUCUUCACAUCGCAUUUUGUUUGCACUACUUACAGGUUCGUUCCCAUUCCUUCAUGUCUUCGAUAAUUAACAGCAGCCUUUCCAUAUCGUCAUUUAUGAAUAAACAAAGGUUUCAAUUAUGAAUAUAUAUAUUUUGUUUCAGUUCUUGUAUCACAGGCGCUUCAAGCAGCCUCACUCGUGGCGCCGAGAUCCAAUUGCUACGCUUUCGAUAACUCUAGCCGCGUCGUCGAUUUUGUAUCCUUACGCAAACAAUUACUGUGGCUUGUUAAUUAGUAUUAUUUCGCAAUAAUAAUAACAAUGCUUAAUGCUACUGCCUUCAAGUUUGGGUUUGAUUUUGUGUGAAAUUUGUUUUCUCUUAAGCUGUUAACCAGAGUAGUUGGAUUGGACAUCCGUUUGAGUACGACGGGAAGGUAAUUUCAAUUUCAAUUCUGUUACGGUGAUAAUUGAAAUUAUGGUGCACAUAUGUUAUGAAUUUUAAUAUUGCUGUAAAAUUUCAUAAUUAGCUCAGUUCAUACUCAGAUUCCAGAGGUAUCGUCACUCAUAAGUUUGUUUGGGAUGAUACAGGACUCCGACUUGGUGCUUCGAUUUUGCAAAGAUGUGGAGAGUAGAUCACAAACGGUAGUCCAUAUCACCAUGAUCUCAAGUACUUUACCAUUUGCUUUUAUUUUUAUUUUUCAAUUUUUGAUUUUUAUGUUCAUUAAUUUAAUGAGCCUGUAUUGGAAAGUUCGUAUGUAUAUAAGCCAUUCAGUAGUAUUUCAUGUAAAGCUCCUGUAUAUGCUUAUUCUAUUAGCUUCAUUGCUGCAUUGGCUGUUAAGUUGCCACAUUAAUAACAUAUGAAUAAAUUUCAGUUUGUGUUCGAUUAGGUGUUUUUGUUUGAAUUUGCUCCUUUUAAUGCAGGGAUAUGUAGAUUUUGGUCGAUUUGAUAAGUUCAACUACUUUGUUUCUGGUUCAGGACACGUUGACUUUGUUCAAGUGAGCUUCCUUUUUUUUUUUUUUUUUUUUGGUUGAAAAUGAUGCUACAGUUUGGUUUCUUUCAUGUAAUAGGAAAAUGCAGUUGUCAUAUUUAUCUCUAUUUCUGAACAUAUAUAGGGGUUUUAUAAUGGCGACCUGGCGAAUUGUGAGCACAGUUAUGAUAAAUUGGGACGAACAGCUCAGGUUGAUUUAUGCUGGAAAACUUCCACCCUCUAGCACCCUUAUUUCUUUCUCCUGGAAGUUUUCAUAUAUAUAUAUUUUAAAUAUUUGGCAAUCACUGUCAUUCCACUUCUCUCAUAAUUUUUUUUAUUUUUAUCUUCUUUAAAUUCAGGUAAACAUCAUAUGUGGAAGUUGUUUAAAUGGCCAAUGCACAGGUUUGUGUACCUUUCAUUUCUAAGUUAUAUGUACAGUCACCAUUUAUACUAGGAAUUGAUAUGCCCCCUUUUGAACUCUGUCUUUGGUUGAAUGGACAGCAGAUAAUAUAAGAAAAUUCUAUGGAGACCCUUAACAAAUUGGAACCAUUGCGAUUAAAAGGGCCACUUGUUAGUAAGGUGGUGAGAAUAAUAAGUUUAGGUGGAUAGGGAGAAGGCGAUGAGUUUCAGGAAUAAGAUUUAAGAUAUGACUAGGUCACUAGAAGAAUUUUUGCAAACUGUUUCAUCAAGAAAGAUAGAGCACUAGAGAGGGAGAGGAAGAGAGAAAGCGGAAAGAGGAAACUACAAGUAACUCUGAUAUUUCAUACCUAAUUAAAACACUGACAGAAGGUCUCAUUGCUUCAUCCUGUUUUCUAUCAAAAACUACUUACUUACAAUUUUUUUCCUCCUCAAGUUACAUCUCUACCAUUAAUAUUGUACUGCCUCUGACUCUGUCAUUUUCAGUAAUCUAAGACUGAUUCUUACUAUUGUUUGUUUUCAGGUGGACUUGGAUGCAUCUGCAAAGUCACUUAUGAGUCGAGUUGCAGGUCUUUUGAAUAGUACCUUGAUUUCCACUUUAUGUUGCAUUAUAAUGAAAUGUGGUGUUAAAUCUCUGUUAAUUGAGUCAAUCAUUGCAUGCUGGUGUUGGGAUAACAGAAAUGCUUCAAUAUAUGAGCCUUCAUUUAUUAUGAGACACUCAUGUUUCCCUGAUUCUGUUGCAAUUCCUAAAUGUUUCAGAGUUUUUCUCGAACUAGCUAUUCCAUGCGAGAAACCAGGACCACGAGUAUUUAAGGGCUUCACUGUAGGUUUCCAUCCACGGUCAUGGGAACUUGUAAGAAUUGUUUUAUUCUCCCUGAUGCAUCUUAAUUUUCCCAGGCAAAAGUAAAUUAUUUUCUGAAGGAACCAUUUUAUGAACUUGCAGGUUUAUGAUGGCAUGACUCAAUUGGGCUAUGAAAAGUCUCACCAUGAGUUUAGGUAUAGGAAUUAUUUGAGUUGUUUUGCUUCAUUUAACAUCCCUUCCCCCUAACCCAAAAAAGAAAAUGUAGUAUCCAUCAAUCUAAAUAAAGUUUGCAUUUUGCAGCUUUGGGACUGAGCAGACACAUGUAACGCUUUAUAUGACUGCAAUUGCUUCCCUUUCGACUUUGGUGCAAAGACCUGUUAUUAAGGUACUCGAAUUCCUUAUACUUUGAUGCAUGGGAAACCAUUUAUCAUUGAAUAAGUUGGUCCAAGUAUGUAUCCUUUGUUUAAUAAAAUAUUUGCAGGUCUUACCAGAAAAUGGUCUGGAGGUUAAGGUAUCAGGGUCGGGAGCAACUGGGAGCCCUCCUACAACUUUGUCACCCACAAUGUUAAAUGUUGAUUGGAGAUGUAAGGGUAUCCUUUGCUGCAGUGGGCUUUGAUAUCCCUUACAAUAAAGUCUUCUUAGUUUCUUUUUGUAAUUUUCAGGUGAAAAGGCUCGUGAUACUCCAUAUGAAGUUAAUAUCACUAUCCCAGUAGAGGGUUACGAGCCCAUCCAGUUUUUUCUUGCCAAACUGUGUGGUAGGCUCAUACUGCCGUCACUGAUAACUACUGCCUUCCCUCUCAAUCCUUACUCUUCUGAAAAUCGCUGUUUCAAAUUAUGGAGAGACAUAACCAAUCUUAAUAGAACAAGUUCUGAAGAUGCAAUGUAGUACUUCAUGUUAAAGCUAUCCUUCUUGCACUAGAACUUGCUGGUGAAACAUGAUUGGACUGUGUUCACUGUCUACCAAUUAGGAAUGAGUCCCUCAAUAAUGUCAUCACUCUCAGAAAUUAUUACAUUCAAGUUAAAUGGCUAAUAAGGGAAAGUGGAGACAAGGGGUGUUGGAAUUGAAAACACUAAUGGUUUGAAAUAAUAUCAAGGUUCGUUCAAUUUUGCAGAAAACAGGCAGAACCAAAAUGGAAACAGUGCACGGGGAUGGGCUAUAUUUGGGGUGUUAUCCUGCAUGUAAGGCAGUUCCUACUGAAAAUUAUAGUAUUGAUAAAUUGUAGAAAUUAUGUAUUAUGUAUUUUAUCUGAAGUUUGAUUUUUCAAUGAACUGUCUUGGAUCAGAUUCGCUGUCUCAUCGACCCUGUUUUGCUGUGGAGGAUUUAUUUACAAGACUCAAGUUGAAAGGAAGGUAGGCCCUUUUCUAUGGCUUCAAAGUCUUGGAUGGUUUCCAAAUUUGCAGCUUUUCAUCAUGGUCUCAAUUUGUAUGUCCUCAAUUAUAUAUUUCUAUUUGAUCACAUGCAGCGUGGGAUUGAUGCAUUGCCGGGAAUGACAAUUCUAUCUGCUUGUUUAGAAACUGUAAGUAUACAUCACUAACACAAAUAUUCCUUGUAUUCCUUUGGCCCAUUUUCCAUAAGGCUCAAAUUCUUUGGGACAAAUAAACCCUGCAAGAUGCUUUAGUUUUAAAUUGAAAAGAAACCUUGCAAAGCAAGGGAACUGAGUUAUGAAGCAAAUAGGAAUACUAUUUGCCACGCCCUCUGUAGACUUUCUAAUGGUGUUGAAUGUGGGGGGUACAAAAAUAGGUGAGUGACGGAGGGCACAGCUACACCCGACCAGAAGACCUUAAUACUACUUUUGCCAGUGAAGCCUCUUGGGAACGCUCUUCUGCUUCUAGUCAAGGAACAUCAAGGCCGAACGAAAGAAAAUACGGUGCAAUUUGAACGUUACGAACCAGUGAGCCGCAGCUAACUUGUAUUAGUACACGAAAUGUGAGGGUUUUGAAGUUAUACAACCUGUUUGUCUUUUGACGAUACCAAAUUUCAUAGCAUGUAAUUUUGGAUGUUGUAAUCUCAAGUUAUCAGCUGAAAUCAAUAUAGAUCUCUUGCUCAUUAAUUUGUCAUCUGCGACUUGGAAAGCUAUUAGCAAAGUUGCUAAGGGAUAUACGAGCUAUGAUGGCAUAUGCUCUUUUCUUUGAGGCCUGUAAGAUGUCACUUGCAAAUUUACAAAUGAGGAAUCAGAGCCUUAAAGGAGUUGUUCUCCAACCCCGCUUAUAAUAUCUUUUAUCAUAUUUGGAUCUUCCAGAUUAACCUAAUAUUCCCGUUAUCAUACUUGAUUAUAAUUUAACUUUUCUUCAUGCCUCCAUACGCGUUUAACACACAAUGACAAUUUAUUUACUAAUAUUGUCGAUCCUGAAGUCAAAAAGCCACAAAAUAAAGGAAUCAAUGUCAAUUCAUGGAUAGUAGGGGGAAGAAAAAGAACAAGAAAGAAGACAGGAGAUGAAUAUUAGGUGUAAAGAAAUGUUAAAGGGCAGUCGCCUAUCCAAGUGGACAACUCUCAGUUGUUGAUACGUGGGGGGGCUCGUGAGCUUGCAUCAUUAAAAUCCAUACAAUGAACAUCUAGACGGCCAUUAAAUUUCAAUGUGAACGUUAGGGGAAAGGGGAAAAAGUGCCCAAGUAUGAAGGGUUCAACCCUAAUUUUGUGGCUUGCUCUAAGAUACCUUUACAGACAUUGACAAUGUCAGAAGCUUUGAGUCAUCUAGUUUAGUUUGGGUAACUAUAUACUCUGUCAAACACAGUAGUUGAGUCUGCUCCUACUCUCUCUUUAUUGUCAUCACAAAACAAUUAACAAAAGGUUGACCUGCUUCUGUUCCACAUGGAAUCGGUAGUCAAUUGCAAUGCUGUGAUCCAAUAACACGUGGGACGGUGAAAUGUUUGCUUAACAUAUUUGACAAGAAUUACCCAACAAAAUUUGGGAAUCAUUUUGAAAGUUACACAAGGUUUUUUUAUAAUUAUUUUUAUUUAUACAAGCGAUAUUAAGAGAGGGGAGAAUAGAACCUAGGAUUGCAUGUGCAAGGGUAAAUGUUUUUAACCACUUGAGCUAGUUUUAACUUAAGAAAAGAGUGUUAGAAGAACCCUAAUGUAGAACUCUAGCCAAAGUUCAAAUUUUCUUAUUAAUCUUCAAUACAUGGAAAAUUACAUUAAUGGACCUUCCAAAUGCUUGCUAACACGUUAUUCUAAUUGGAAUUUUCUGAGACCGAGAUCUAAAUGAAGGUGGGAUGUUGUUGUAAUCAAUUAAUGGAAAUUGCUUAACUGAUGAUCUAAAGGCCCACUGUACUGAUAAUUUUUUCUAUGUCAAGGAUACUUGGAUUAUAAGCCAAAAAGGUUUGUUCUUCUAUAAUGAGCUGAUUGAGCUUAGAUCUUGUAUUAACAUGAUGAUUAGUCACCCCAAAGAAUGAAAGCUUUGUACCAACUCCAACCUUCUCUUCUGAUCCUGUCUAUUGAUGUAGCUACCGAAAGUAAGUUACCAACUCCAGCUUCUCUAUACCUCACUCUUGAAAGUUGUGUACAAAGUCUCCUCUAUAAAUACUCCCUAAGCCAUCCCAACAUUCAUCAAAGCAAGUCUUGGGGAGAGCUUUAUUUUCAUUUGACAAUUUCAAGUCUUCUUCUUCUCUAGUGGUCUUACUAGACUUGAACUAAGGGUACCCCAAAAAAAAACAUUAUGGCUCAGUCUUUGAGCUUCCUUCUAGCUCUUUCUCUUCUUGCCCUUGUCCCACUUUGUUUCUGUGAUAAAACUCUUGGUGGGUAUCUCUACCCACAGUUUUAUGACCACUCCUGCCCUAGAGCAACAGAGAUUGUAAAGUCUGUUGUUGCCAAGGCUGUUGCAAGAGAAGCUCGCAUGGCUGCCUCUUUGCUUAGGCUGCAUUUCCAUGACUGCUUUGUACAGGUAUCGGAUUACAAAAAUCAGCCGAUUUGCUUCUAGUUAAAUAUUGUAUCAAAUCAUUCUAAUGCAUCUCAUUUGAUAAAUAAAAAAAGAAGUUAUGUUAACACCUUAUGACUGAGGUACUUAAAAUCAUGUUGGUAAUUUUGAAUGUUGCAGGGUUGUGAUGCAUCAAUUCUGUUGGACAGCAGCAAGAACAUAAUCACGGAGAAGAGGUCUGUCCCAAACCAGAAUUCAGCUCGAGGGUUCGAAGUAAUCGAUGAAAUCAAGUCUGCAUUAGAGAAAGAGUGCCCCAACAGAGUGUCCUGUGCUGACAUUUUGGCUCUUGCUGCUAGAGACUCCACUGUGCUAGUAAGUGUUACAUUUUUAGCUUUGUAAAUUGCAUGGUGUAAGAACCUAAGCCUAAAUUCACAUAUGCUGACUAUAAAUUGUUGCUGCAUAUUGCAGUCUGGGGGGCCAAACUGGGAGGUUCCACUAGGCAGAAGAGAUUCAAAAGGAGCAAGUUUAAGUGGCUCCAACAACAACAUCCCUGCUCCAAACAACACUUUCCAAACUGUUCUCACCAAGUUCAAGAGGCAAAAGCUCAACAUUGUUGAUCUUGUGGCACUAUCUGGUAACAUUGCCAAAAAAACACAACAUAGUUCUUCAUUAUUUACUAAAAAUAAAAAUUACCAAAAAAGCUAACAUGCCCUGAGCUUUGUGUUUCUCGAUCAGUUUUUUUUAUUUCCAUUGAUAUGCAGGAAGCCACACCAUUGGAAAUGCCAGAUGCACCUCAUUCAGGCAGAGGCUUUACAACCAGUCAGGCAAUGGCUUAGCUGACUUCACCCUUGACCAAUCAUAUGCUGCACAGUUGAGAACCAGGUGCCCAAGAUCUGGUGGAGACCAAACCCUGUUUUUCUUGGACUUUGUCAGCCCAACGAAGUUUGACAACAGCUACUUCAAGAACUUGUUGGCUUCCAAGGGCCUCCUGAACUCAGAUGAAAUUCUUAUCACGAAGAGUGAAGUGACAAAGCAAUUGGUUCAACAGUAUGCUGAGAACACUGAGCUUUUCUUUGAGCAGUUUGCCAAGUCCAUGGUGAAGAUGGGAAAUAUUUCCCCACUUACAGGGUCAAGGGGAGAGAUCAGAAAGAGAUGCAGGAAGAUCAACUCAAUCAAUCAGAAUGCAUGAUUUCAGGGCCAUAAAAGUUCAUAUGUAGUGUGUGUUUUUCUGCUUUUCCAAGUUAUUUUUUUUCUCUCUUUCCCAAAAUAAAUUAUGAUUGUAAAGCUUGAUGUGGCCAUUAUAUUGUAGACAUCCAAUGAUGCAAGAUUAGUGCUUAUUGUGUUUUCAUGGAACUUGUACUAUUUUUCAUCUUCAAUAAUCUUUAAAUGCUUCGAUUUUAGUUAACAUCAACAAUCUACACUUUCGUUUAUUAUUUAUUUUUUGUAACGCAAUGCAAUAAUGAGAGAAACCACAAAGCUUGCUAUUCACAAAGCUAAAGUUACUUUUAGUAUUAUCUCAAACACCUAAAUUACUAAGAGAAUCUCCAAAAAAAAUGUCAAAUUGUCACGUUAUUUUGACUCAUCUUAAUAUUUUUCUCGAAACAACAAUGAAUUAUGGACUCAAAUUAGAGCUCGGAGCCUAAACUUACAAAAGUUAAAAUUUACUGUUUCCGAACUUAUUAGGCAUGUCAAACUGCUCCUCUAUCCUACGUCUCUUAUCAUCUUUCUACGUACGUCAUUUUAUUGUACCUAACGAGGCUUUGGAGUUGGGACUAAGAAUUGAGAGACAUGAGGCCCACCUUUGAUAAUGAUAAUGCAGUCUGUCAAAAGAUAGGAGAGAAGUUGCUUUUUGCACAGAUUCCUCAAGGCGUCCAUCGGAGAAACUUUCAAGUUAUUAUCUAACAUUUCAUCAGUGAUCCUAUAAUCAUAAAAAAAAUUCACGUUCCCAUCCAAAGAAAUAAAAUAAUAAUGGAGAAAAAAGUGAAGUUCUCGGAAGCAUGACCGGAAGACAAUCAUAGUGAUUUUCUAAAGACAGAUCCUUGUCAACAAGUUUCCCUUCACCCUUAAGAUGCUCCAUUAUUGGUGGUAACGUUAAAACAUUACUUAGCUAUGUAAAGUGUUGUUUGUGCUGCUUCUUUUAAGGCAAGGACUAUAGGGUAGCAGUAAUAAUAGGAAGGUGUUGCUUCCUUUAAACAUAAAGUAAUCUUCUCUAUUGCAUAUAGGCCAUAAGACUAAAUGACUUGAUUUGCUCCAAUAAUGCAUGGUAGAAAAACCAAUAAGUGCGUAUGACACGUUGUGCAAAGGAGUUUGAGCCUGGUUCGAGGAUUUUUGUACAAAGCUCGAGAAGAACCUCAAGUGUUUGUAUCUUUAAAUCUUUAAAUAAAUAGAGAAAGAAACUAAAAAAUCUUUACUGUGCUACUAAAAAGUUUAGUUUUCCAAAUUUUCUUAAUAACCAUGUAAUCUAAUAUGUGAAACAUGCUAUAAUCUUAAAAAUUAGGCAAUGGGUAUUCUGAUUAACUUGUUGGGUGUAUUGUAAAUAGAAAUUCCCAAAAACCUUUGGGCCAAACGCGGUUCAAGGCCCAAAAACGGAUUUGGGCCCAUCAUCAAUUUUUGUCCGAAGUUCACAUUCCUUGGUGGAGGGCAACUUAAGCCUUCGUCCCCGUAUGGAGUUUAUGCCUGCAAGCGGCCACUCACACUCGCGCCAUACCAGUCACUCUCUUCUAAGCUUCAGAAGCCAUGAAAGCACCAAGCUUAUGCUAACCUAAUAAGGACCACAAUGCUCAGAUAACAUCCCCAAUUGCCUGAAAUCACACCCCCAACCCCAGAAAAAUGAGAUAUUUACGGUUCAUUUCCCCACAUUUUUCUCGUAUUCACAAAACCCUAAACCCACAAAGCCCUCCUCUAUCCUCUCUCCAAUCAAAGCCCCAGAUUAGUUCUCAUUUCGUGUGCAAUUACACCACCGCUGCACCGGAGCAACGGCCACCUCCGUCCGAGACGGUAUCGGCGAUCGCGGAUGAGAUCUCGGGCCUGACUUUGCUCGAAGUCUCGGACCUCACGGAGGUUCUGAGGGAGAAAUUGGGCAUAAAGGAGAUGCCUGUGAUGGCGAUGAUGAUGCCGGGGAUGGGAUUUGGCGGCUUGAAAGGCGCCGGCAAAGGUGGUCCGGCGGCGGCUAAAGGCGAGGAGAAGGUGGAGAAGACGGCUUUUGAUGUAAAGCUCGAUUCUUUUGAUGCUGCAGCGAAGAUCAAAGUGAUUAAGGAGGUGAGGACGUUUACGAGUUUGGGGCUGAAGGAGGCCAAGGACUUGGUGGAGAAGGCGCCUACGCUGUUGAAGAAGGGGGUUACGAAAGAGGAGGCGGAUUCGAUUGUCGCGAAGAUGAAGGAAGUUGGUGCCAAAGUUUCUAUGGAGUGAGGUAAUUUGGGCAAUUUUUUGCUUAUACAUUUUGUGAAUUUGAAUCUGUGGUGUGGGUUGUAGUGUGUAUAGCUUAGUGAAUGAGUUUGGCAACAGGAGCUAGCUCUCAUUGUUUUUUGGGGUUUGUUAACUCAGAAAGUUUUCUAGUAAUCUGGUUUAGAAAUCCCUGUUUUGGUCAAUAUGAUUAACAAAGAUGUUGGGAAUGGGGCACAAAGCACAUUAAUGAAAACUCCGAGCUAGUCUUAGGCAUUUUGUUACUCAUAUGUAAAGGUCACUGAAACUUCCGGGCUCCUAUAUAGGCACUAUGAGUUUAGAGUUAUGUCCUGUGUUCGGAGCUGCUAAUCUAGGCACUAUUUGGGGCUUUAUAGCCUGACAUUGUUGGGGAUGACCUGGAGGAUGUCAGGGAAGAAUCAGAAAGAAAAUCUGUGUUUUAACUUGCAAACUAAUAUGAGUUGGUGGUUUGUGAGGUACAUCAUUGGCAGUGGCCUAUUAAAUGACUAAUGGGCACAAAUGUGCAAUAUUUCUAUUUUAGUGUAGAAUGAUAUUGAUUGUCCUGCUGCAGCACACAUAAAUGUGUGCGUGGUUGUAUAUGCAUCAGUUUUGCGGUUAACCUUGAGUAUCACCUGAGUAGACUCAUCAUUUGUCAAUGUUUUUAGGCAAUCACCUUUGAUAGCACUUGUUAGCAUUGCACCGUUACCACAUUUUCUUUCUUGUUCAAUGCAGUUAUGCAACUUGAAUAUCUGAUGGUUUAUAUUUUUUGGUGACUUUCCAGGGGGAGAGAAGGAUGUAGAAGUUCAACGUUCAGGUGGCAAAUUGUUAAAAAAUGUAGAGUAGCAAAUUAGUGGUUCAUUACACUGGAUGUGCAAUUGACAUAGUCUCAUAGAAGCCUACCGGAGAUCUUCAUGAUUCAAAGCAAUCUUUAGUAGAACUGCUUUGCUUAUCUUUCUUUGAGUUAGAAUAAUGUAUUUGCGGAAGCUUUGUUUCAUUUUUUUUUAAAAACAAUCAAUCCUUUCAGUUACUUCAUUACUUUUACAAACCAACAGUUGUAGACCUAGCAUUUUGAUAAUAGGUUCACAGAGUUGAAGUUUAUGAUAUGUACUUUGCAUGUUUCUCCAAACCAAAGAUAUGCCAACUGCCAAGAACAUUUUUACAACUUGACCUUGAUCCAUGUCUACACCGCAAAUUAUAACCUGAUCCAACCUAGAGAAAUGCCAUCGACUUUGUAGACCUUUUCAUGCUGCAGUGAGCUCAACUUUGUCCUGUUCUUGAACAAUGUCUGCAAUCUGGCAACCUUCUCGAAGUGAUCACAGAACAAGGCUUUUCAGUUUGGGCAUUCCCGAACGCCCACAGGGUAACAACAUCUUUGAACUUUAGGCCAUGAUGUCGAACAAAAUAUCGCCAAUAAAGCUUAUGAUAUUUGCGAAUUUUUGUGGUCAUGAACAGCAUACUGUGCUCAUUAUCAGCAAUGUCAUACUUUGUGACCCAGAUGCCUUGUGUAGGAUCUUCAUUACCAUUCAACAAUGUUCUUCUGCGUCACAUUUCUUCACCUCUAAUGAGAACAUCGCAUCAGAUUUUGUCAAGUGUCUGUCAAAAGGCUUGCUGCAUAUUUGAAUCAAGUGUUGGAUGCUUGGGACUGGUGGGAGAUCAGGAGGGACAUACUUGUGAAAUCCAUUGCAUGAACCUAAUUCUAGUUUUAGCUGUUCUUGUGUUGCAAUGGCUUGUUGGGCUUGCAGGGCAUAUGUGGCUGCAGGUUCUUGAAAUUGAAUUGAGGGUUGGAAGCUUGGGAAUGGUAGGAUAUAACGAUGAGGGACAGAGUUGUGAAUUCCAUAGUAUGAACAUAGCGCAAUGGCUUCUUGGGCUUGCAGGACAUGUGGAGAACAAGGUUCUUGAAAUGGAAUGAAGUGAUGAGGAGGCACAUAGUUUCCACAGAACCAACCUAGUCCUAGCUCCUGUAGUAGUAUAGGCAUGCCUUGUGCUGCAAUGGCUUUGUGGGCAUGUAGGGCAGCAGGUUCUUGAAGGCUCGGGACUAGCGGGACAGCAUAGUUUCCAUAGAAGAAGGAACCUUGUUCUGGUUGUGGUUGUUCUUGCUCUUCUUGUGUUGCAGCAAUGGCUUCUGUGCCUAGUAAGAAUGCUUCAAAUUCUUGGAUUUUCAAUGCUAGUUGCUCAUUUUCUUCUGCAUGCCCAUCUUCUUCCAACUCAUCAUCAGAAUCCAAAAGCACGUGCUCUAUGUAAGAAAGAGCUUUAGCCAUGUGUUCAUCAUCAUGAUCAUUAGCCAUGCCUGGCCUGGAGCUGUUUCCUGAAGCCACUUUUAUGGUUUCUUGUUUCAUGAUCUUUCUCACAAGAGGAAGUCUUCUUGGGAGAUUUUUUUGAAGAAAUGGGAAAUGGGAAAUGUGAAACGGGAAGUGCUUUCUGCUUCUCCACCUGGGUUUUAUAGAUAUCUUUCCAGAAUAAUUGAACCCAAAUUCAUUUAGCUUUGGCAAUGCAAUUGGAACACCCUCCUUACUUGGUGUCUGGACUAAAACCUGCUAUAACUAACUAACUAACAAAUUGGUUUUGAUGCAAAAAUAAAUAAAAUAAAGUAGAGUAAACAGUAACACCGUAAAAUCCCAUCCACUAAACUAGAUAUGAAGAGUCAAAACACUUACAAACGACACCGUUUCCGGACCUAACCAUUUUCCUGAAGUUGGUGCUACAAGAACAUUUUGCAAAGGUGGUCAUUUUUUAAUUUGGCUAUCAAGUAGUUCAUAGAAGACAGGACAGGACAGGACCGGAUUAUAAUUGUCAUCAAGUUUGCUUUGCUUUGCUUUGCUUUAAUUUGAUAACUUCUGAUCAAAAGAUGAGCCAAAUUAUGAUAUAUCUAGCAUAGGGGAAUGCUGUAUGUCCACUCAACCCAGAGCUUCACCAACAUUACAAAUACAAAACCAGAAAGCUUCCUGUUUCAAGGGAAUUUGCAAUAACUAUCACUUCAAUGCAUGUGCUCACUCACCUGUCUGUGACAUGUCUGUUUUAAAUUUAGAGAAUUUUUCUUCUAUGUGCUUAUGUUCAUAACUUUUUUUCUGUCUUUUCAAAAUUAUGUUUCAGAUGCCUUAAGAACCAUAAUGAGAGAGGGAGAGUGGGCUGCGCUUUAUAAAGAUGUUCUCUCCAGUCUUUUUCAGGUAUGUCAUUGUUUAUGAGCUCAGCAUACACACAUUCCUUGUGCUUGUUCGUCUGCGGUUCUGCUCCAUAUGUGGGUUUAAUUACACAGCAUUUCAACUCUACCUAGUAGUGUGUUGUAGGAUUAUUGAAGCAGUGUAUAUACUAACAUAUUUCAGAAAUGGGAAGCUAUCUUGUCAAUUCACUAUUCAACUACGUUUUUAUUUCAUGUCUUCGACACUUGUUUUCACGGGGGAAUUUUCGUUUAGUUUCUUUGUCCACUUUAUGUCAUCACCUGGAGAAUUUGGAAUUCUUGCUUUAUUAAAUUUACUUACUCGGGCAUAUUAAAUUCAUGAAGAUAUUCAUCUGUAUAUUCAUCUGUGAGAAGUCUAAGUGUUUUUACAGCUACUGUAGUGUAGAUCAUCAUUUGUUGAAUGGUAAUUUACGUCUUGUUGCGUUUUGGUCACCUCUGUUCAAGUUUAAGAGUCUGCUAAUCAGGCCUUGGAUUGAGACUCAUUACGCAAAUUAACCAGUCUGAUUACGAGGUCUUAUGGUCUAUUUCUUUUGGCACAGAAUUCAGUUGACUGUGCAGCUUUGGGGGCAUCAUCUAAAAUCUGAUUCGAUUGGUAAUGAACGUCAUAAGAGAUCAAGUAGCUACUCUUCUAUCAUAUCCAUUCCGAACCAAAGGAAUACCAACUGCCAGGAACAUUUUUACAUCUUGAACUUGAUCCAUAUCUAUAUACAAUACACCUCAAAUCACAACUUGAUCCAACUUAGAGAAAUGUCAUUGACUUUGAAGACCUUUUCAUGCUGCAGUCCAUAUCUCAACUCUGUCUUGGUCUUGAAGAAUGUCUGAGGGUUUUAAAAAAAACGGCAGCCUUCCCGAAGUGAUCACAAAACAUAGCUUUCCAGUUUGGGCAUUCCUGAACGCCCACAGGGUAACAUCUUUGUACCAUACCAGGCAAUGGCGUCGGACAAAAUAUUGCCAAUCUGGACCAGUAAGCAUAUGAAUUUUUUGAACUCCUGCGGUCUUGAACUGUCACACUGUACUCAUUACCAGCAAUGUCAUACAUUUUGAGCCAGAUGCCUUGUAUAAGAUCUUCAUCGCCAUUCAACAAUGGCCAGACAUGCCUUUAUACGUCACAUUUCAUCAGCUUUAAUGCUUGUGUUGUCACAUCAUAGUUUGACAAGAACUUCUGAAAAGGCUUGCUGCAUAUUUGAAUCAAGUUUCGGAGGCUUGGGACUGGUGGGAGAGCAGGAGGGACAUAGUUGCCAGUUCCAUCGAAUGAACCCAGGUCUAGUUCUGGUUGUUCUUGAAAUUGAAUUGAGCGUUGGAGACUAGGGAUUGCUGGGAAAUAAUGAGGCACAUAGGUUCCAAUUCCAUGGAAAGAUCCAAGUUCUAGUUGUUGUGGUAGUUGAGGCAUGCCUUGUGCUGCAGCAAUGGCUUCUUGGGCUUGCAGGGCAUGUGAGGCUGCAGGUUCUUGAAAUUGAAUCGAGGGUUGGAAGCUUGGGAAUGGUAGGAGAUGAUGAUGAGGGACAAAGUUGUGAAUUCCAUAGUAUGAACCUAGGUGAUGAGGAGAACAAAGUUCGUGAAAUGGAAUGAAGUGACGAGGAGGUACAUAGUUUCCACAGAACCAAUCCAGUCCUAGUUCCUGUUGUUGUAGAGGCAUGCCUUGUUGUGCUGCAAUGACUUCUUGGGCAUGUAGGGCAGCAGGUUCUUGAAGGCUCGGGACUCGCGGGACAGCAUGGUUUCCAUAGAAGAAGGAACCUUGUUCUGGUUGUGGUUGUUCUUGUUCUUCUGCAGCAAUGGCAUCUGUGCCUAGUAAGAAUGCUUCAAAUUCUUGGAUUUUCACUGCUAGUUGCUCAUUUUCUUCUGCAUGCACAUCUUCUUCCAACUCAUCAUCAUAAUCCAAAAGCAUGUGCUCUAUGUAAGCAAGAGCUUUAGCCAUGUCUUCAUCAUCAUGAUCAAUAGAAGCCAUUUUUAUGGUUCCUUGUUUCACAAUCUUUCUCAAAAGAGAAAGUCUAUGGAGAUUUUAUUGAAGAAAAAGGGAAGUGGGAGGUGCUUUCUAUUUCUCCACUUGGGUUUUAUAGAUAUAUCAUAUAUCCCUCCAGAAAAAUUGAACCCAAUUUCAUUUAGCUUUGGCAAUGGAAUUGGAACCCUCAUUACUUGGUAUCUGGACUAAAAUCUGUUAUAACCAACCAACAUGUAUUAAUAACCUUUUAUCACAAAAAUUAAAAUAAAAAAUUUUUUUUAAAAAAAAAAAAACAGUAGAGUAAACACCGAGUCAAAACACUUCCAAAAUGACACCGUAUCCAACCUUCCACUUGAAACGACGCCGUCUUUCGCAUCUGACAGCACUCAAGACAAGACUCAGAGGCAAAGCCCACCUCGUUAUUCGGUAGUCGUUCGUUAUAUAACGCCGUCGUUUUAGGAUUUCAAAUCGAAACCGCCAGGUCUUGUACCUGUAAGCGAUUGCAGAGAAAAGCCUGCUGCUUUCAGAACCCAAGCUGCAGAGCACAAGGCAACAGUGGUGGUUUAAGACCUGCCGGCUGCCGCUGUAGUCGGAACUACCAAGCUUUUGAAUCUGCCGUGAAAUUCAAAUGUCGUCGGCGUCGCAGUGGCAGUGGGAAACUGCCACCGCCGGCGCCAUCGCCGGGUUCGCCACUGUCGCGGCGAUGCAUCCUCUAGACGUUGUCCGUACGAGAUUUCAAGUCCACGAUGGUCGAGUCUCCAAUCUUCCAACUUACAAGAACACGGCUCACGCCAUUUUCACCAUUGCUCGAUUGGAGGUAUAUACAUAUAUCCUCGGUUCACCUUGUCAAAACCCACCUUAGGGUUUUUGUUGUUGAUGAUGAUUUGGUUCACAUUGCUUUGUCUUGCAGGGCUUGGGAGGACUCUAUGCAGGCUUUUCUCCUGCUGUUCUUGGUUCCACUGUUUCAUGGGGCUUAUAUUUCUUCUUGUAAGUAACAAUGUAUGGGCUUUUAGAAUAUAUGCCUUCAGCUCCAGUGUAAAUUGAAUUUUUUUACUUGAUGAAUGUUCCUGCCACGCAUACCAAUGGAUUCUAUCUUCGCAAUGCAGUUGUAAUUGGUUUUUUUUCAUUUGGAUUUUUGUGUUUUUUGUUUUUUCGUUCUUGUUUGCUGAAAGAUGUUACGAAUUAAACAAAAUCUCUGUAUUAUGUAGCUAUGGAAGAGCGAAACAAAGGUAUUCUAAAAACAGGGAUGAGCAGCUGAGCCCUGGUCUUCAUCUCGCUUCUGCAGCAGAAGCUGGUGCUUUGGUGAGUAUUCUGCAAACGUUGAUUGAAAAGACAUUAAUGGAAUUUUUUUUUCUUCUGAAACUGUUAUCUGAUCCUGGUGGUUGUUUUUAUUUGCAUAUGGCACACACAUGAUUCCCGCACUCUGCAUCCUUAGGUAUCCAAUUUUUUGUGCUUUGAAAUCAAGACACUUGUUGAAACUUUUAACGAAAAUAUCUGGUUAGUUAAAAGAAUCCUUGAAUAUACCAGACUCCCAGUUGGAGUUUAGCACCUUCCUGAAUAAGAACAUUGUUCCGAAGGUGGUCAUUUUGUUCUUUUGGCUUGGUGCAAUGAUUUACAAGUGUUUAGAGGAAUAUAACUCCAUUUUCUGUUCCCUUCUAAUAUUUUUAGAAGGUAGGCAGGAUUUUAGCACAUGGUUACCUAUAGAUGAUAGCAAACUUGUGAUUUUGUCAGGUUUCUUUGUGCACAAAUCCUAUUUGGCUUGUAAAAACAAGAUUGCAGCUUCAGACUCCUCUUCAUCAAACUCAACCAUAUUCUGGGUUUUAUGGUCUGCUCCAUAUCUUACUUAAACUUGAUAGUGAUGCCUGCAAUUAGUUUUUUUCAUGCUAAAUAUUACUUAUUUGUUUAUUUAUUUAGUUUGUGGUGAAGAUAAACUACCCCUGAUGUAGACUUCCAGAAUUUGACUCUUUUAUAAGAUUGGUUUGCUUGGCUAUCAAGUAGUUCAUAGAAGAUAGGACAGAAUUAUAAUUGUCAUGAAGUUUGCUUUGCUUUAAUUAUAUCUUUUUAUCAGAAAGCCAAUAAAGAUAUCAAGCAUACAUGUUCAGUCAACCCCAAACUUCACCACCGUUACAAAUACCAAACUAGAAAACUUCCUGGUUCCAGGGAUUUUGCAAAAGCUAUCACUUAAAUGCAUUUGCUCAAUCACCAUUGACGUGUCUAUUUCAGAGAAUUUUUCUUCUAUGUCCUUAUGUUCAUAACUUGUUUUUUCUUUUUAUUUUUAAUCAUAUUUCAGAUGCCUUAAGAACUAUAGUGAGAGAGGAAGGGUGGGCUGCGCUUUAUAAAGGUCUUCUUCCCAGUCUUUUUCUGGUAUGUUGUUGUCUAUGAGCUUUUUCUAUGGUGGUCUGCCUUUGUUUUCUCGCACAGAUGUACAGUAUAAUAUUUAAAGAUUAGAAAAUAAUGACUCUCUCUCUCUCUCUCUCUCUCUCUCUCUCUCUCUCUCAUAUGAAACAAUCAAUAUGGGUAUCACUUUAUCCGCAACUAACAACAAAAAUGUUUGGUUUUCCUUAAUCAUUUAUAAGAGUUGUACAGAGGAGUUGGGGUUCACUGUGUUUUCUUCCCAUGGACACUUAAGAGCCUCUGUUUACAGCUUCUAACCAUCACUAAAAGAAUACCAUGUUCAUGAUUUGUGAUGUUAUUCAAAGAUUUUGGCACUUAGAGUUUAUCCAUGUAAAAGGAAACUGAAGAAAAUUGCGAAAAAAUUGUAGUGGGAAAAUAAGGCGGGGUGUCUUACAUAUCUGAUGAUAUACACUGCUGAGUGGCGAGAUGGAAAUGCUUCUGGAGAUUAUUGUGUACUUCUACACUUAAUUGCAUUUGAAGAUUAUAAGUGCAUUAUAGCAUACACAUGUAUCACUCAUGCCAAAAAUCUGUUUAGUCUUUCAUGCUUCACAACUUUGCAGCUUACAGAUCUUCGUGUUGUUUCAGCAGGUAUCUCAUGGUGCUAUUCAAUUCACAGCAUAUGAAGAACUCCGUAAAGUAGUUGUUGACUUCAAGUCUAAAAAAAGGAGAAGGCAUUCUGGAAGUGCUGAUUCAGUGUUGGUAUUUCUCUGUUCAUGCAGCUAAUGUUCUGUAGUAAUGGACCUAUUUUAAUCCAUAGAUCUACUUGUUCUGGAAUUGUUACUUUACAUUCCCAUUUCACAUAUAGUUCAAUACAGAGGUCCCUUUUGGUAGUUGGUAAAUUUAUUUUCUAGUCAAUUGUCUAGUAUUUACUGCACCAAAUGAAGAAUCCCAGGUUGGUGCGGAAAUGUGAUUUGGUAAUUGGUGUACAAAUUUUUGUAUAUGUACGUAUGGGCUUGUAGAUGUUUGGCAAUAACAUGAAUCAGAUUAUAGUACGUCUCUUCUGCUCAUUAUGCCUGUUUUUUGUUCAUGAUUGAGGAAAACACAUACAUUCCUUGUGCCUGAUCAUCUACUACAUAUAUGGGGUUAAUAACACAGCAUGUUAACUCUACCUAGUGGUGAGGUGUAGGAUUAUUAUAGAAGCGCAUAUACUAUAUAUUUUACUAAUGGGAAUCUAUCUUAUCAAUUCACUGUCAUUUUAAUUUCUUUUCUUCUACACUUACUUUCAUGGGGGAACUGUCAUUUAGUUUUUUUGUCCACUUUAUUUUACCCGAAGAAUAUGGGAAACCUUCGCUUUAUUGAAUUUACUAAUGGGAGGAUAUCAAAUUCAUGAAGAUGCAUCUGGGAGAAGUCUAGGUGUUUACACAGCUACUAUAAUGUAGAUCAUCUUUUGUUGUAUGGUAAUCUUGUUGCUCUUUGGUUCCAUCUGUUCAAGUUUAAGGGUGUGCAAAUCAGGUCUUGGAUUGAGCUCAUUAGGCAAAUUAACCAGCCUGGUUACGAGGUCUUAUUGGCUAUUGUUUUUUGCACAGAAUUCAGUUGACUAUGCAGCUUUGGGGGCAUCAUCUAAAGUUGCUGCCAUUCUUCUAUCUUAUCCAUUCCAGGCAUGCAUAAAUAUAUAUUUUUGGCAUUGAUGUAAAAUUCUUCUAGAUGUUCAUUUCAUUUGUAGAUUACUACUUGUGUGGUUGUGAUGACUUUUUUCUUUCUUUUCAUUUUUCAGGUGAUGCGAUCUCGAUUGCAGGUAUAUCCAUAAUGUUUUCUCUAUAUAUCGUCUCAAUAUAUAGAAGUUUCCCCAGUCUGAAACAGUCCGAGCUUUUAUUACUAAAACCCUUCAGCAUAACUUUUGAAGUUGCCGUUUGUGCUUAUACAUGUUUAUGGAUUGCUCGUAUUCCUUAUUAAUGAGAUUUUUCUCAUUUUGUCAGCAACGACCUAGCAGUGAAGGAAUUCCAAGAUAUAUGGAUAGCUGGCAUGUGAUAAGGGAAACUGUACGGUAAGUAUGAAAUUUAGCUUUCAUAUGAUGCAAAUAUCUGGAAAUAAUUUCUUUAUGCAAAUCUCUAUCUGAUUCGAUUGGUAAUGAAUGUUACAAGAGAUCAGGUAGCUAGAUGGCCUUUCCUUCCAUGAUAUUUAUCCCCUUCGAUUUUUUUUUUUUUUUCUUGUCUUAGGAUGCUAACCUUUCCUUCUUUGUUGGGGCUGUAGGUUUGAGGGCGUUAGAGGUUUCUACAAGGGAAUCACCCCAAAUCUUCUGAAAAAUGUUCCUGCUGCUUCAAUAACAUUUAUUGUAUACGAAAAUGUACUGAAAUUUCUAAAAUUUGCUAGAACGAAUGAGUAAGGUCUUCUUUUGAUCCUCAAUUUUGAGCACUCGUUCUAGCUACAACAACAACAUUAUUUGAGGUUGGAAAUGUGGUAAUAAAAUGUGUUGAAAGGUAUAUUCAACAAAGCAUUAAGUUGUGAAAAAAAGGAAAUACAAAACUCAUUCAAAGUGGAGGAAAGUCUUAUUAUGUCGAAAAUUUGCGCAGGAAGGAAAGAAUUUCGUCUGAGACUUCUUGAGCCUUCUCUUGCUGGAUAAAAUGGUGGCCAUCUAAAAUCACGACUUCCAGGUCUGGCACAAGACUCUUGAGAACACUUCCUUUCACAUAUUCCCUUGUGCCCAGAAUUUCAAAGCCAAUGUCUUUGUCACCUACAAUCAACUUUGCUGGAACAGUUAUCUUUGAUCCUUGCCAUGGUCCCAUGAGCUCCCAGUACCUGUUUCCGAUUUUCAAAAUUAACAGAUGUAAAAGAUUAGCCAACUUACAUCAAUAAAGCUCCUGAAAACAAGACAAAUCAAAUUGGGAUUUUCUUAAAAUUCAAAAGCCAUUUGAAUAUUCUUUGCGGUUGACUUGUCAAUUAAGCUAGCUAACAACCCACCCCACCACCAAAUCAAACCGCGUACAAAAAUUUGUGCAGGUAAACCAUAAAUUCUUCAAUUUGUUAAAGUUGAUAUGAUAUGAUAUGAUCCUAUUUCUACCUUUUUUAUGAGCCAAAACCCAAAUAAAAUUGGGGGAAUUUUGGGUUGUUAGUUGGUGUGUCUACAGACUCUAUACUUACUGCUCAAUUGUACGAAAAUAAUUGAGGGCACCAGUGAAGCCAGAUUCUUCAAACUUUUCAGCAUAGACUUGGAGGUCCUCCUCAGAAAUCCAUGGUGGCAACACAGCUGGUGUCUCCAAAUAAUCAAUGAUCUCCAUUCCAGGAGGAGCUACCAAAUAAUCUGUCUUGUUGUACAGCAAGAAUUUCUUCAUCACUGUCAAAUAAUCAUAUCUUGCAAACGACUUUUCUGCUCUUCCUGGUUGCUACCACCAUACACAAAUUACAAAUACAAUUACACAAACACAUAACACAAUUGCUAACUUGAAGAACAUGUUCAUGUCUUGACUAAAAAAGAACCUGAAACUGAUAAACAUAACACCCGUCACCGAAAAUUCGCCUCGCAGAUUCAGAAUCCCUGGUGCUGGAAGAUCUUUCGAAGUAUGGAGCAGAAAGUGCAAUCAGCGCCUUGACUCUGUCAGGCCUGAACAGGCUCAGAUGCCAAGCUGCAAUGGCUCCAAAGUCAUGUCCCACUAUAAAUGCCUUUCAAAUAAGAGAGACAAACAAUCAAAACAGUCACUAUAAAAUAAAACACAGAAGAAGAAAACAGGAAAGAAAGAAAAAAAACCUUUUGUUCACCAAAAUGAUCAAGAAUGCCAACAAGGUCUCCAACAAGGUGUUGAAUAGAGUAGGAGGUAGGACUCAGAGGAGAGUCAGUAUCACCAUAGCCUCUCAUAUCAGGAGCAACAACAUGGUAGCCAUGCUUAGCCAAGUAACCAAUCUGGUGGCGCCACGAAUACCAUAUUUCUGGGAAGCCAUGGAGGAGAAGCACAAGAGGGCCUGUCCCUUGCUCUGCUAUGUGCAUCCAUAUCCCAUUUGUCUUGAUCCUUUGGUGAGUCACCUCAUUCAUAUUCUCUUCUCUUCAAGUCUCAGAAAAUAAAAUAAAAAUAAAACCAACUGGUGUGCUUAAUGGUGUGACUGGACUGGCCUUUUAUAGCUCAAUUAUAUAUGUGUAAUUAAUAUGUGGAAAAUGAUUUGGCAACUCUCUGAAUUUCAUACGGUCAAAGAUGAGAACUUUGAAGCAGACCAAAGGUGAGAGUAACGUAUCAAAUUCUCCAAAGCUAGUCAUGGUGCAGAAAGGUACAAUUUUCUUGACCUGAUUGCUAUUCUUAUUUGCUGGAUGGUCUCAAUUAACUUUUAUUGGUCUUCUCAAUUUCUUAGUUUUCAUGUAUUUGUUGACAAUUCCCGUGGUUCCACAGGAAACUAAAUAUCAGUGCUUGACAGUCUCCUCUUGAUCAUUUUCCUGGAAACUACCAUCUACCAUUAUUUUUAUUUUCUUCUUCUUUUUUGGUGUAUAAAAUUGUUUUAUGGCUGCGUGCUUAUAUGGUUUUGUAUGUUAUUAUUGCAACCCAUCUUGUGUUAUAUCGUGGAAAUGCGACAUCGGCGUUUGGUCAUAGAGUAAACUAAUUGUAAAAAAAACAAAAUUGUGUAGGUGUAGAAUUAUCUUUCAGAAGUUUUUAGUAUUGUAAGUACAAAUUAACAGAAGGAUUUGGUUGUAUUGAACUGCAACCAAGAAAUAUAAACCAUUUGCUUUGUGUCAAUCUAUGAAGUUUUUCGCUUCUGUUAUGGAACAAGGCCUAUACCCUUCCCCAAAUCAACAAGUUUGAAUGCAGCCACCUUACAAUUAACAAAAUCUUUGGUUAUGUUCAUGUCACUGAUAAAUUUAAAAAUUUCCAAAACUUAUUUCACAAACCAGGUGGUAGUUAAUUUGGCAUGUCAAAGAGGCCAUUACAUUAGGUUAUAAACAGAAUUUCUAAAUGCCUUAAGAAGAAGAAAGAACAAACACAAAGCACAGAAAAUUAUCCAACCCUGAUACAGAACAAAGAAAAGGAUGGUUUUAAUUGAACCCCAUAUUGGUUCAAUGUACCCCACAAACCAUUUGGGAUUUAUUCAGAAGCACACUAAACAAUUUCAUUGAUCUACAGGAUGUUCACGCAGGAAGGAAAGUAUUUGGCUGGAGACUUCUUGAGGGUUCUCUUGCUCGAUGAAAUGGUGGCCGCCUAUAACAACCACUUCAAGGUUGGGGACAAGGCUCCUGAAAUCAUCACCUAGCACAUAUUCACUUGUUCCAUAUGACUUAAAGCCGAAAUCUUUGUCACCAAUCAUGAACUUCACAGGUACCGUAAUUUUCGAUCCUUGCCAGGGUGCAAGAAGCUCCCAACUCCUGUUUAUCACAAUCACUAGUAUCAGUCAACAAAACAACAGGACCAAAAGUUACUGCAGACCAACAUGGGUGAGUUGGUCUGUUGUAUUGGCCAAAGCCUGCACAGGUGAGCUGGCUGCA